rnacentral:lncRNA from 1 species
CAAAUCUCCCCAAGUAGGAUUCGAACCUAUGACCAGUCAGUUAACAGCCGACCGCUCUACCACUGAGCUACUGAGGAACAAGGGGGGAUUCCCCCUCCUAGGGUUCAACUCCCGCUCUCAACCCAUGAACAAUAUGGGUCCGAAGCUUCUUUCGUAACUCCCAGAAUUUCUUCAUAGUGGCUCCGUUCCAUGCCUCAUUUCAUAGGGAAGCCCAAAGUGGCUCUAUUUCAUUCUAUUUCACUUCCUAGCACUUCCUAUCAUUUAAUAUCCAUCCCUUUGGUCUUAUUGACAUACGAGAUGUCAUUUAUAGUCUAUCUCUUUCUAUAUAUGGAAAGUCAAGAAAUUCUCAUCAAAACAUCAAGAAAUUCUGCAUAUAGAAAACUCUAAAGAAAGAAAAAAAGGAGACCCAUGCCAUGAUUUUCAAAUCUUUUCCAUUUAGUAGUCUAAGUUUCUCGAUGAGGAUAAUUAAUUCGGUCGUUGUGGUCGGACUCUAUUAAGGAUUUCUGACCACAUUCCCCAUAGGGCCCUCUUAGAUCUUCUUUCUCCAAUCUUGGAUUAGGGAAGAAGGGGAUAUUCGCGACUACUGGCGGUUUCAUUAUGGGGCAGCUCAUGAUCUUCAUAUCGAUCUAUUAUCCACCUCUGUAUCUAUUCUUUCUUAGCUAAACGGGUGGAAGAUCCAUCCAAUUUGGUUAUAUCAUGGACUGAAAAAACAAACGGAUCUGAAUUUGACUGAAAUGCACGAUCUUCACAGGUAUCACUUUUCACGAUACCUAAAAGGUGGAAUAGCGAUUUGCGAGCCAUUUCCUAUAAGAGAAUGGUUUCCAUUACUUUGAGAAAUAGAUUCUUAUAUCAAACUAUAGCUAUUGCAUUAAAGAAGAAAAGAAACUAAUAGAAGUCGAAGACGCGAAAUGGUAGUGAAUAGAGAGAAAGAUUCUUCCGAUUUUCUUGUUCCUGAAAAUAUUCUAUCUAUCUCCUAGACGCCGUAGAUAAUUGAGAAUUUUCAUCUCUUUCAAUUCUCGUACUCGUAAUUGGAAAGUUACGGAAGGAGACCCGUCAUUUUGCAAUGAAAACAACAUAUAAAACUCUGGACAAUUUUGAAAUCAGGCCAAGCGUCUUAAUACAUAUGCAAAAAAAUUCAUUAGUGGCCCACCAUUGAUUAGAAGAUUUAGCUUGUAUGAAUCGCUAUUGGUUUGAUACGAAUAAUGGCAAUCGUUUCAGUAUGUGAAGGAUACAGAUGUAUCCACAAUUCAUUUCGAGUUACUUAAUAGCCUAUUUCUUAUACCAUAUCUCUAUCCCGUGAAAUUCUCGAGCCCAAAGAUGGAUGCAUAUGCUAUGUUUCAUUUUGCUAAAUGAUAUCAAUUAAAUGGUGUAUCAAUUCCAUAAAUUGGAUAUAGCAAUAAAAAAAUCAGCAAAAUUCUUUUAUUUUAGAUAGAAGAAAUGUUUCUUCAAUCUAAAAUAAGAGAAUGUACCCUUCUAUCCAAAUCCAAUUUGCAUCGAUAAAAUAAAUCCAAAUUCCAGUAGUAGAUGAAUAAUUGCAAAUUUUUGUGUGUACGAGAUUAGAAUAACUUCAAAAUAACUGACAUAAUGUUUUAUUUUUCCUGAUCAGAAAAAUACAUGAAAAAGAAAGGAGGUAGAAAAAUCUUUGGAUUUAUGGUUAAAGAAGAAAAAGAAGAAAAAAAGGGUUCUGUUGAAUUUCAAGUAUUCAGUUUCACCAAUAAGAUACGGAGACUUGCUUCACAUUUGGAAUUACACAAAAAGGAUUUUUCAUCGGAAAGAGGUCUACGAAGACUUUUGGGAAAACGUCGACGUUUGCUGGCUUAUUUGGCAAAGAAAAAUAGAGUACGUUAUAAGAAAUUAAUCAGUCAGUUGAAUAUUCGGGAGCAGUAAUUUAAUCGUUCGAAUUUUUUUACUUAUUUUAUUUAGUAGCCUUAUAGUAGUCUUAGAUUUUGCAUUUUGAUGAGCCUCGUUUUGAGGAAUUCAUGGAAUAACGAAUUAAGGAAGAAAGGAUAUGAGUCUACCGCUUACAAGAAAAGAUCUCAUGAUAAUCAAUAUGGGCCCUCAACACCCAUCAAUGCAUGGUGUUCUUCGACUGAUCGUUACUCUCGAUGGUGAAGAUGUUAUUGAUUGUGAACCCAUAUUAGGGUAUUUACACAGAGGAAUGGAAAAAAUCACGGAAAACCGAACUAUUAUACAAUACUUACCUUAUGGAACACGGUGGGAUUAUUUAGCUACUAUGUUUACAGAAGCAAUAACGGUAAAUGCACCAGAAUUCUUAGAAAAUAUUCAAAUACCCCAAAGAGCCAGCUAUAUUAGGGUAAUUAUGUUAGAGUGAUGCGUGCUGCCCAUGAGGAAGUACGACCUGCAGAAAAGUUAGUCCGCGCGUUCGCAUGUCGUCCCUGCACUUCCCUUUCAGCUUUGCAAGCAAUGUGAAACAAUAGAUUGAUAGAAUUAUACUCCUUAUAAUCAACAAUGUCAGCAAUUUCACGAUUUAAACCACCAAAGAAUCUAGCCAUAGCAGCUUCCUCAUUCUCAACUAAACCACAACCUAACAUGUUCUUUUGCAUUUCUUGAUAAUAAUCUUGGACAGAAUUACUACCUUGCCUUAAUUGUUGUAGUUUCUUUAACAAGUCACGCGAAUAGUAUGAAGGAACAUAUCUAGCGCGCAUAAUUCUUUUCAAAUCAUCCCAUGUUGGUGGUAUAGCGUUAGGAUGUGCAAUACAAUACUCAUGCCACCAAACAGAAGCAAAAUCAGUAAACUCACGAGUAGCAGCCCUAACCCUCUUAUUAGCAGGAAAAUCAUGGCAAGUAAAUUUUUGACUCAAUUCUAAUUCCCGUGUAAGGUAAGCAUCAGGGUCAUAUUUUCCAUCAAAAGGAGGAACCUUAAGUUUAAUAGAAUGCAGCGAGUCAUGUUCCUCUCUUUGAGGUCGUAUCGGUCCCAUACCUCGGCGGUUGAAACGAGUUCGGCGACGAUCACGGUCGUUGUGAUGGUUUACGGCCCCGUCGUGUUCCGUAUCCGCGGAGUAGUCGUCGUCGUUCUCCUCAACCUCGCUUGCGAAGGUACCGUUAUUAGCGGUCCGCUGGUUGUGUGUAUUGUUUCCUCCCGGUGUAGCGAUGGUCGUUGCAGCAAGUGCCGCCAGUUGCGUCGUGAUUUCUGCCAGAGAAGUACUAAUGGUAGCAACAGAAUUCUGUAAAGAUGUUAGCUUGGUAUUGGUUUCAAUGUGCGCGCUCUCCAAGGUUCCAAGUCUCUCAUUUGCAACCCGAACGUCCUCAUCCAGCUCCUCGUUACGAAGCCUAAGCUUGCGAUCAAAAUGUGAAAUAAUGCCCUUUGUGCAUGGAGAGUGGCCUUGUAAAUCAUCGUCAGAACCUGCCAUCGUUAGGAGAAAACAAGAAAAAAAAAAUCACAAGGAAAAGUCCCUAUGCACUACUAGGAUGUGGGGUUCAAAAGAUCACUCCACUCAACUUUUAAUCAAGUUCUUACUCGUUCUUACCCAGCAAACAGGAAGGUGAUGGCCAGCGGCGAGAACAAGCCCUCCGAAGAUUAAUGUAUCGAUGCCUCGAGGCAAACCAAUCUAGGUGUAGAAUCUGUGGAGCUUGGAGGCUUAUGUGAGUAGCAAGGAAAAGCGAAUAAUCAAAUCAGCAAUGCAAAGUUGAAAAUAUGCUCAAAAAUGCUAGUCCUAGCUGCUGGAGUCGAUAAGAACGAAUUACAGAAAUUAACUAAGCCUAGAUACUGAAAAAGGUAGAAAGGAAAGAUCAAAUGAAAGGUAAAACAAGUAAAUCUCUGGGGAAUAUUUUUUCUCUUUUUUUUUCUUUUUGUGGCCUUCUGUUUGGCUUCUUAUUUUUUUCUAUUUUUUUUCUUUUUUUUUAUCCCCAGAAACUCACGAAAGAAGUUAAGACCGGAAAGCUGCACGUCGGUCUGUAGGAGAAUAGCAAAGGAUGUAGUAAGGAAAACUCAGAAAAAUAUGAGAAAAUAUGGGUUAGAAGCGUACCAAAACAAGCUUUCCAACAAGUGCAAGAUCACUCGAAACGGAGGUCGGACGGUGGAGAAAACUGAGAUAUACUGCACUGCCCCGGUGCCAAAAACGGGUGCAGAAACUUCGAAGCACGAAAAGUCCACCUUAGAGGCCGAAUUUGAGGGUCAAGGAGCCGUUAAUUUUAGAGGAUGCGCCUCGUCGAGAGCUUUCCGAAAAGUCCUGGAACGUUCAAAUCUGACUUCGUAUGCAAAAGAUACGGCCGUUUUAGUAAACACGGGUCAAACCCACCCGAAACUCUAAUUCUACUUAGACUCGGGUCCGAAACUGACUCGAACUCUUCCUCUCUUUUUUUCCUUUUUUUUUCUUUCUUUCCUUUUUUUUUACUUCCUUUCUUUUUUUUUCACAACUUUCCGAACAACUUGAUUCAAUCUAUUAUGAAACACUUUCCAAAAGCACUCUUGAUUAGACUCGGACUCGAACUCGCGGCUGAAAACUAUAACUUGCCGACUCGAUGUAGGACUCGACGAGGGACUCGGUGUAGGACUCGAAGAGGGACUCGGUGGAAGAUAUGGUGGUGGCGGAAGAUUAUGGCGGUGGUGUGGCAGGAUGUUUGGUGGCGGAAGUUUGAUGGAAAGCCUGCAUCACACGAAAUCAAAAGACAAAAACAAGUUCGAUCUAGUAGAAAAAAUCUGAAAAACGAUCCAAUCUAAUACAGCAACUCGACACGAUUAAUGCAGCAAAAAUUCAACAAUGCAAAUACUAAUGUGAAAAUUGCAAGGCUCAGAUUGGUUCUAGGACAAGGUAACUAAUUCUAAUUUUUGUUUGGCUUUUUCUAGACGAUAGGUAAAAACAGAUCUAAACCACGGAUAAACUGGAAAAAUCUCAUCGAGCAACCUUAAGCUCUGAUACCACGUGAUAGCCUCGAGGGUGUCCCGAUCUUUCGAUGAGAUACCUAAUUAUCGAUUUGGUAGGAGGUGACGUUGACGAUCCGACUACAACCUAGGAGGCAACGCCUUAACGAUCGAUACACCAACUUCAGAAGGUUAUUGAUCCCGCGGGGGAACGAUCAACCUGACCACGAAGGUCUUUGUUCCUGCAAGCAAUCGAAGAACAAGCAAGAACAAGAUGAAAAGCAAUCUGAAAUUGCGAAUAGGAGAUAUGAAGGUUCACGAAUCUGAAUAUUCAAUAUAGUUGGAGUCUUGAUGACGGUAAAACAGGUGGUCUAACCGACACACGCGAUUACACGAAAGUAGCAAAGGCUAAACUUUAUCUGAUCAAAACCCAAGUCUCCAUGGGGGGGCUCAUGGGGUAUAAAUAGGAGGGGAACUAGGUGGUUUUCGGACAGGCCCUUGAGGGACUCCGAAACGGUCUAGGACUCCUCCUAAAACACAACGAAAACAUCUAAAAAUUGGCUGGACCCUAUUACAUGGCCUUAGGCCUAAUAAAGCAAGGUUAUAACUCUCAUCUUUGGCCCAUAGAUACCCAUUGGAGGGGCAAUCCUCCACUUGGCCGAAAUCCCAUUGAUGAAGAGGAUGCGGCCUUCUUCUCAUCUCUCGUUAUGGCGGUUUCAAUGUUCUGAAAUCAUCACUUGAGCUAGUUCCCGCCACCUUGCUGCCACCUCCAUGGUUUGCUGUCCAACGCUGAUCCUUGAGGUGCAAGCUAAGUCCUUCAUUCCUAAAACACAUAAAAAAAUCCAUCUUAGGCAGCAGCAUAUUCUCAUUAAUAUUAAAUGAAGUACCGAGGAACGAAAGUACCUAAUAAUUUAGUUGUCGUGCACGAGCUCUAGUAAUUGGUCCAUGUAUCUUCGGUACUUGAGGUGUAGGUGCUGUAGGAGCUGUGAUUGUAUCAUUACUUGGGAUGUACUCAUCACCCCGUGCCAAAUUAAAAAUUGGGUCCUAAACUUUGUAUACUAUAAAUCUAAAACGACUCAAUUUUGUCACAUAAAUUAUAUGCUCAGUAAGACAAAACGAGAAGAACUCCUUAAGCAAUGAAGUGUCAUCACUUCAGUAGGCAGGUCAGGGCCGGCAGCCGACGAUCCAGGGAUUGCGCUUGCCAAUCGGCUCUGGCGGCUGGGAGAUGAACUGGAAUACCAAAUCAUCGAUCGCUUGGUAACCCGACGCUGCGCCAGCAAUAGCCAAUAGAUUACACCCAAAAAAGGUCUCCUGUAAGAAAGGACCAAGAUUUCUCACAACUUCAUGACUCUAAUUAUACUAAUACCAGCACGUCAGCAGUCACUAGACGCGCCCUAAUAGAUUGCCUGACCAGUCACUGUGAUAAGGCCUUCAUAUGUUUUGGUAAAUACAAGACAUAAUAAAGCUAAAAUUAGCCUAACAUAAAGGCGUAAUUUGCAACAGUAACAAUACCUACCAAACAUAGUACCCUCAAUUCAGUGAUCAACUGUCUACCAAACUACUCUCAGUUCUUGAACCAGAGGAUUAUAGGGGGUGAAUGUUACACACCAGAUUGAACAUCCGGCUUAACAGGAUGAGCAUUUGACACAACUGUCUUAUACGCCACAUGAGCCAUCUCAUAAUUCUGCUUGAGCUCUUCAUGGUCCUUCAGUGAAGCCUUGGCGAACUCUGUCAGGCAAUUGAGAACUGUAGUCAGUUUUGACUGUAAUCCUUCCAGUGAUGCUACCCCUCCGCACGUUUCCUGUUCGUUGUUUUCCAGCAUCCCACAUUCCUGAGACUCGCUCCUGGAAUGGGGCUCACUUCUCGGUUUGUGCUGAUCAGGCUGAUACUCGAACGAGUCACGCAGGAGCAGCAUUACGUCUUUAAUGGACUUGCAUAGCUCAUCGGUGGGGAGUGACUCCAUCCUGGAAAGCCAGUCAGCGCAGAGGACAAAUAUCGGAGGGGAAAGUGCUUGGCGGGGAGGAAAUGAGACCUUCCUCUUCCGCCGACGUCGGUCCUGGGGUGGCUGCAGGAUGCACUUCUGGAGCCAUGCAUUGAGGGCCUCAACAUAUGACUUCUGAGCAGUGACCCAGAUCUUGAAACUGGACAAAAAACAGUCCAUCUCGUUCCACAGGUACUGUGCUGCCUGGCGGUGAUGCUCACCUUGCUGCACUGAGGUUGAACUUUUGACAUGGUAUGCCAGUGAGAUUGUAAUGAAUUGCUUGAGGUGGCACUCCAGCAUUGCUUUCCACAUUCUGAUUAACCUGCAAGAGGUAUGUAUGGACAUUUAACUUUCAAGGUUAACAUUUACAAGAAAACCUGUACAUCAUAUGCAAACCAACAUGUCUAAAACAUAUUUUAAUUAGCAGACUGAAGUAAAAAAGAAAUGAGACAUCUCUGCUCAGCAAAAUAGGGGCUCAGAGAAUAAUUAGUAAAUGGUAAUCUCCUGAUGUUCAGUAUUCAGCAUUGUACUGCCAAGCGAGAUUUGGAAUAACAUUGAAAGCUCAAAAUUUGCAUGAUUUAUACUAUAAAGGUAAUAUUAAGCAGGGUCAAGAAAUCUGUUAAAAUCUGGAUCAAUGUAGAAGAGCAAAUUGAUACCCUUGAAUGAGCUCGACAAGUUGAGGCUGAAGUUCUCCAUCCCUUAUUUUCUCAAUCCUUCUUGAGAUUGCAUCAACAGCCUGGAUUGCAACAGAUACCCUGGAAUGCAGCUCCUUCACAACAGCUCGAGUCUUAUCAAUAAGCUCUGCAUUUAGACCUCGAGCAAAUUGAUGCCGUAGAAGACUACAUUUCUCGUCAUAAGUCUUUCUGACAUUUUCACUUGCCUAAAUAAACAGAGUAAUGCAGUUUCAGUGACUAAUAAUGCCAACAACAGACAUAUUUACCAGGGAGAGAUUUGAUAAUAGCUAUUGGCAAACACGUGAUCUCCUACACUCACUCUACUAAGAACAUUAAAUUUUAUGAUUAGUACAAAUCAAGUAGUAUGUAUGUUUCAUAUUAUCAACCCUUAUUGCAAGAGACACCAUUUGCCUCAUAAACAUAGUCUUCAGGACUGCAAAUUUAAAAAUGCACCGGUUUUCACAACAGAUCUACAAAACAACAGACAUUUUUGUGUAGGGAAAUGAUGACUUCAUCAUAGCUAGUCAAGAAUUCAGAUUGGCAAAUCAUGCUAGAAGAGCUUGCUUACUAUCGUAAAUGCACCUUGAUUUCAUCAUAUAGUUUUCUUUCCCAUGCAUGCAACCUAUCCAAUGUAGAAGAAUGGCUUCCAGACACCAUGGCGAAUUGCUCAACAAAAUCAUUAUUACUAUCAUCCACAUCAUCUUGAAUCAUAGAAGUUGCAAGUGGACUUUUAGAUGACGAUGACAAGGAUGAGACUGAACGUUUCCAGGUAACAACGUUUGCAACAUGCUGUGCAGUUUCUGCAGAAACAAAAGAAUUAGUACUUUAGGCAAAUAGUGUCUUAAGGAUAAUGAGAAGAUACAAGUUGAAAUAUUAUGCUUGCCUUGGCUGAGAAGAAUGUCGCGAUUGCAGCACACACGAAAUGCCGAUACAAAUCGUGCAGUAGGCUUGCCUGGAGAACCUAGGAUUUAAGGAAUACACAAAAACAACAAGGGUUCACCACACAAACUUAAUAUAAUCCAGAUUAAAAACAGACAAGAUAAUGUUGCCCUCAUGAUUAUCACCUGAUGUUUUAGCACAUAUAUCAAGUCGGAUCUUCUUUGUCUCAAGCAUUCUUGAAACCUCAUUCCCAGCUUCAGCUGCACGUAUAAAGCGGAGUUCAAUGUCCUUCAUGCUUGACACAAAAUCUUUCGCUCUCUGGGUGAUGAAAUCUGAAGGAUCUUCUGUCUCUGUGCACGAUUCCUUUUUCAUGUCACCUUCUUCUACCUUUGCUACAACCUUCUCAGACGAAGUGCCUUCAGUUGAGGCAUCAGCCAAUCGACUUAGUUUGCUCAUCCCUCUUUGCGUUGCUUUUGUUUCCUGCUUAGAAACUUCAUUAUCAUCAACAAGAUCUGAAUGCAUUCUGUCAGAUUGUUUUCCCUGUUCUUCAUUCAAUGGAACUAGUGCAGCUUGCCUUGACUCCCUCAAACCCUUCAAUCUACUGAAGUUCAAGGUCACCCCAUCCUCAUUGUUCGAGGUAGCACUACCAGCGGCAUCAAUAGGAUCAAAGAAAUCCCAUGAGGUGCAUAAUUCCGGGGGCAAGGGUGGUGGCGGCGGAACAAAGGCAGAGACUGGGGAUUCUUGCUCCACAAACUCAGCAGCAGAUGGAUCUAUUGUGAAUGUCAAAGGAGCAGUUCCCGCAGCUUUCAUGUAAUGGAUUCUUGUCGUGGGAGGAGUCGAUUGAUUUGCUCGAUGCACCGGGGAGCCAAUGUUCUCUGCUGCACGAGACGGAGACGGCGAUGCCAUAGAGGAAUGCGAUGGCGACUUGUCCACUUCUGAAAUGGAGAGCGAUGACUCGGGUGUGAUGUUGGACUCCGCAUACCGCCGCAAUCCAGUCCCCACACCUCGCAGGGACUGAGUAUAUGACAGGUGUGCCGCCGAUAGCGCAUCCCUGGAUUCGAUGGCUCGCUUGAUACGACGUAGCCGCUCCUUGCAUAGGACUAGGGCAUCUUCACCACCAGCUUUGGAGGGUGAGGAACCCAUUGAGUCGUACAAGUUCAGAGACCUCCUCGUACAACCACGGGCGGAGGACCCAGUAGGGCCCUACCUUGAUUUUUGCCUCAGUUACGAAUUGGGGGAGAUUAAGGAGAUGAAAUGGGAGGCUAAAGGGCGUAAAUCCAUUCGUGAGGUGAUGGGAAGAGAAACGGCCGGGAGCGAGAGAAUCGAAGGAGAGAUCAACCUGGUGGCGGCGCUCGCGGGAGGAGGAAGACGAGCGAACGGAGCGAGGGGGCUGGGGCGCUCGGCAGCGGGAUGGGGAGUGAGGGGUGGCGGCGCUCGCGCGAGGAGGAAGACGAGCGACGGGGUUGGGGCGCUCGGCAGCGAGAUGGGCCAGGGCCCAGGGAUAUAGAAUCUGUCUUUUGGGAGGCUGAGAAACGAAGAUGGGCUACACGGAGCCCAUGAACAUAUUGAGGCACGUACUGCUCCAUAAGGAUCGUGUGUGCCUCUCAAAAAAAAAAAAAGAUCGUCUGUGGUCCUUGUUGUGAAGAAAUCAGCAAGACAUGACAUCUUACUACGGCAUCUUUUUUUUUUCUAUCUGGAGUCCAAUCAUGCUAUGCACAUCAUAUGGUCAAUGUAAACAACUCAGAUUUCACUGGAGUACGGCUAAUCACCCAAUUCCACCUUUUCUUUUCUUCGGUUACACCCAAUUCCACCUAGUACAUGCAGCUAAACACGUCUAAAAGCUUGCGACUUGACCGGCUUAGAUAUCGAAAGCCCGCAGAAUCCAUGUCCGGAACUCCGGAUAGCAGUUGGCGUAAGUCGAACUCAAGUCUGCGGCUAGUAACCGGAAUUGUACACGAGUUGAACUUGUGAAUCGUCGGAAAAAUCGAUGUCCGGGCACUUCUUCUCCCUGGCUGCAUCUGCAUGCAGUCCAGGCCCGACUUUCUUUGAGCAUCUGAAUUGCCAAGAUCUUGGGUAUCCGGCAUCCUCUUGGCAUACAAUGAUACAAAUGCGAUCUGUUGUGGCGCCACGCGCUUAGCUUUACCACCAUUUCGUUAAUGCCCCUAUCGCGACGCUACAAAUCUUCAGGACAAGAACGUAGCCAGACUGCUGGUCAAUCUAUGGCCGUAGGCAUGCACCGGCUCCAAAAGAUGCGAGAGCUUUUGCUAGGACUCCUUGUCGUGGCAGCAAAGUGGGCAGGCUUCAAGUAGGUCACGUGCACGCGAGUUCAGGACUUUACAGACGAAUCAAGUAGGUGGUGAAUGCUUGUUUGGAUUCCGGGUGUGUUUGUUUCUUGCAAAUCUCUGUCCUAUCAGUUUUUUAUAUUCAUUGGCUAACAAAAAAUUGGUCAAUAAUUUAUUAGUCCAUAAUUUGCCAAAAAUGUGAAGAGAGGUGUGAGAUAGUUGGCAAAUUCCUUUGGCAACUAAAAUUUUGGCUACCGAAACAACAAAGACUAAAUUAAUAUUGGUUGCUAAAAUUUUGGUAGGACAAAUUUUGACAUGAACGGACGACCAAACACAUCGGGCACGAUCAACUAGGUCGUGAAUGCUUCUUUAAUGAACCAACUGGUUCCAUUACGAAUCAAACACAGGAACCACUUAAAAUUCUGAAAUGGUUCCAUUACAUUUCACAAUAUUCCAGCAACCAAAUCUUUACUAUUUUAAAAAAAAGGUAAUUGGAGGAUCGCGAGGCUGCUUCUGACGACUCCUCCGUGGACAACGGGUUCCACUCCUCGGGGCAGGACAGUGACGACCGCCGACGGUUUGAUUCGUCCCGCCGCUCUCGCUCGCACACUUUUGCUUGCAGGCGUGGGGUGGUUGAUGGUGCCGGCCGUGGGUCUGGUCUGGGGGCUGGAGGUGGUGCCUCUGGUCCUGGGGCCCGGGCACCUCCCUCGACGACUUGCGCGGCGGGGCGCGACGGGUUGGUGGGCUCACCGGCGCCAGUUCCUGUGGAGCAGGAUUUGGUUGUCGAUUGCUUGGACUCAUCACCCGACCCUUCUGUCCCUGCUUCUUUUGAUCCAAUGAUGCUGGAAGCAUCGCUUGUCCCGCUGGUGGUUUAUGGGCCGCGCACCGCUGUUCGUUGUGGUUGGGAGCCGCCGUUGGUCGAUCCUACGGUGCUGGAGGAGGCGGAACUAGUUGCGGCGGAGCCGGCACCAUCCUCUCUAUCCCUCUCCUCUCUUGUGGCUUCCUCUCUGCGGUUGUCUAAGCCUGCGGUCUCUCAGCCGGAGAUGGACACUUUCUGUGUCAGCGUGGCGUCGGCGGACUCCAGGUUGUCUGCUCUGGCCGAGCCCUUCACGCCGACGUCGGUCCGCCCGGUUGCUCCCCCUCCCAACGAGAUGCUGGCUCGUUUCCGUUCUGGGUGCAGGCGUGCUGUUGACGCGGUGCUUCCGGCGCCUCCCCCGCGUUCGUCGGUCUUGCGGCGCCGGCGUCCUCAGGCUACUGGCCAGCUGCGGCGCAGCGUUCGGGUGGCCAGUAGGCGUGCUCCUGGCUCCUCUGUGAAGCGGCAGCAGAAGUUGCUGAUCUCGCGUCUGGGCUUGGCAUGUGAAGGGGAGCAGAUCUCUGAGGGUGAUCUGGAGAACUACAUUAGGCUGUUUGAGCAACCCCUUUCUCAGGAGCAUCUGAACGCCAUCUUGGCCAUCUUUGGGUGGACGCCUGAUACCUUGCCCCUUAUGGCCGGCGAGGCGCAGGAUGGGCUGUGCUGAGCUUUCGGCCUGCUAUGUUGUGGUCUGUGGGUCUCGGUCAUGUCUACUGCCGACCCAAAGAUCCUUGUGUGGAACGCGCGUGGUCUUAACGCGCCGGCUAAGCGUAGUGUUGUGUAUCAGGUGGUUGUUGCUUCAGGUGCUUGUGUUGUUUGCCUGCAAGAAACUAAGCUUUAAGUGGUCACACCGGCGAUUGUUUCUCAGUACUUGAGGAAUGAUUUUAAUGAUUUUUACUUCUUGCUGACUUUGGGGACGGGUGGGGGCAUUUUACUGGUCUGGAAGGCUAGUGUGAUUUUGUCCAACCCUUAUUUCACCGAUCAUACGAUUACGGCUCGUGUCUCUUCGGGGGAUCGCGUUUGGUGGCUCACGGGCGUCUACGGCCCACAUAGGGAUGCCGACAAACCUGGGUUCCUUCAAGAGCUACGGGACGUUAGGGACCUCCAUGCUGGGCCUUGGGCGGUCGUUGGGGGCUUUAACCAAAUCGUCAACCCGGAAGACAAGAGCAAUGGUUGGCUACAUCGUGGGCUCAUGAGUAGGUUCAGACGGCUUCUUGCUGAUCUUGAGUUGAAGGAGUUGUACUUGGCGGGCAGCGUUUCACUUGGUCAAGUGAGCGCAAUCGGCCCACCUUGGAGCGCUUGGAUCGUGUUUUUUCGACGGUGGAUUGGGAGACUCUGUUGCCCAACUCUUACCUUUCGGCCUUUAUUUCCGCCACUUCGGAUCAUUCUCCUCUGAUCCUUGAUGUGGCGGCUGACUAGAGAGUGGGGCGUCGUUUUCAUUUUGAAACCUUUUGGCCGAAGGUGCCGGGUUUUCAUGAGGUGGUGGCCAUGGCUUGGUGCGAGAUGGCUCAUAUUCUCAAUCCAUUCCAGCGGACGGCCGCAAGGUUGCAGGUGUUGGCUAGACGGCUUAGAAGCUGGAGUGAUAAAUUCAUGGGCAAUACUAAGUUGCAAAUCUUGGUGGCCACGGAGGUGAUUUUGCGGUUUGAUGUGGCUAUGGAGAGACGGGCCUUGUCUGAUCCUGAGAGACGCCUUCGCUCUCUUCUGAAGAAGAAGCUUUUAGGCCUUUGCUCUCUUGUAAGAACAAUCGCCCGUCAACGCUCCCGCCUUCUGUGGCUCAACGAGGGGGAUGCUAACACCAAGUUCUUUCAUCUUCAUGCUAGUCAGCGCAAACGGAAGAACUACAUUGCUUCUCUCCGUGUGGAUGGGAGGCUGAUUCCAGACCAUGAUGGGAUCUCCUCAGUUGCGGAUAUUUCUUCCGUGCUUUGUUGGGCUCCAUCGAGGACCGUCCUUUUGCUUUGGACCCCCAGUUCUUGGGCCUGCCUUCGGCUCCUCCCUUGGGCCUGGACGGCGACUUCUCAUAGGAGGAGGUGUGGAUGGCGGUGCGGAAUCUCCUGCCGGACAAGUGCCUGGGGCCUGACGGCUUCACGGGGCUGUUCUUCUCUUCGUGUUGGUCCAUCAUUAAGGAGGACACUUUGGCCUGUUUCAGGGCCUUUGCCUCUCUUGAUGUGCGUGGUCUGGAGGCGGCUAACCAGGCCCUUAUCUGUCUCCUCCCUAAGUUGCAAGUGGCGGAGUCCAUCCGUGAUUUUCGGCCGAUUAGCCUUAUUCACGCUAUCGGUAAGCUGAUCUCCAAGGUGCUGGCCAACCGCCUUGGCCCGGAGUUACCUCGUCUUGUGGGGCCCCACCAGGGUGCUUUUGUGCAUGGUCGUUGUCUCCAUGAUAACUUCUAGUUGGUACAAGGCACCGCCCGGCGGUUACAUCAGUUGAGGCAGCCUGCGGUGCUUCUGAAGUUGGACAUCACCAAGGCUUUCGACUCAUUGAAUUGGUCCUUUCUUUUUUACGCCUUGUGUUGGCUUGGUUUCGGCCGAAGGUGGAUUGGUUGGAUCGGUGCCUUGCUUGGCUUCUCCUCGACUAGGGUGUUGGUGAAUGGCAUCCCUGGUAGGGACAUUCUGCACCGUCGUGGGUUGCAGCAGGGAGACCCGCUCUCUCCUAUGUUAUUCAUCCUUGCCAUGGAUGCGCUUCAUGCUAUGAUGGUGAGCGCUGAACGACGUGGUCUGUUGUCUCCUCUGGCUCGUUGCGGUCUUAGGCAACGUUCCUCGUUCUUCGCGGACGAUGCGGUGAUCUUCCUGAAGCCUGUGGAGGAGGAGCUGGAGGCUUGUGUUGCCAUCCUGGAGGACUUCGGUUGUGCUUCGGGGCUCCGAAUUAAUUUCGGGAAAACCUCGGCGCACCUUAUUCGUUGCACCGUUGAGCAGGAGGCCAUGGUGGGACACAAGCUGGGAUGUGUGGUUCAACCUUUUCCUUGUUGCUACCUUGGCAUUCCCCUCGGGUUGAGAAGACCGUUGGUGACGCAACUUCACACUCUCAUUGAUAAAGUGGCUGGCAAGCUGAAGAUGUGGUCGGCGCCCUUGAUCUCUUCCCGGGGCAGGUUGACUUUGGUGCAAUCGACACUUUGUGCCAUGCCGGUCUAUGCCAUGCUAUCCUUGGACCUUCCGAUGAAGCUCAUCGAGAACAUCCAGAAGAUCUGCCAUGGUUUUCUUUUGGAAAGGUCGUCGUGAUGUUCGUGGUGGACAUUGCUUGGUCGCGUGGGAGUCGGUCUGCUCUCCGAAGCCAAUGGGUGGCCUAGGUCUUCCGAACCUACGGCUACUUAAUGUAGCAUUGAGAACUAGAUGGUGCUAGCUCCAAAGGACGGACAGUGCGAAACCGUGGGCUGACCUUAAUCUGCAAAUCACGGAUCAGUCGCUUGACUUGUUUCAUGCGGCUGUCACGGUCUCGGUGGGUAAUGGACAGCGCACACUGUUUUGGAUUGACCGUUGGUUGGAUGGUGUGAGCCUCGAGAUGAUCGCUCCUACCUUGUCUGCUCGUUUGACUCCUGGCGCACGGAAGAUCUCGGUUGCUGAUGCCUCGGACGAUAAUGCUUGGGUGCAUGGCGUGGGUGCCUCUCUUGCCGGCCAGGAGUUUGACGAGUUCUUUGCGGUUUGGGAGCUUGUUCAGACGGUGGAGCUGUCGCCGGACGACGACGUCUUCAGGUGGAACCUGGACCGUUCCGGUUUAUACACGGCGUCCUCGGCCUACGGUGCUUUCUUCUCUGGGAGAGAGGCUGCCCCUUGUGCCGACGAUCUCUGGAGUUCUAGGGCACCAAGCCGUUGUAAGGUGUUUGUUUGGCUUGCUCUUAGAGGCCGUUGUUGGACGGCGGACCAUUUGAGUCGUCGUGGUAUGCCGCAUCCGGCGCAUUGUCCCUUCUGCAACCAGGAACCUAAGACCAUCUCCCACCUUUUGGUCGGGUGUGUCUUCGCCAGACAAAUUUGGGACAUCUUCCUCAGGAGAUGGAGGCGGCUGGAUUUGAUGCCGGGUGGUCAGCUUGGCUUGUUGCAGUGGUGGUCUGGCCUACAUUUUGUCCGGCCUACAUUUUGGCGACCGAAGAACACGCCGGGACUUUGCUACGAGAAUCGUCCUCAUUUGCUGGUGCCUUUGGAGGCACCGGAAUGCGAUUGUUUUCGAGGGGGUUCGUCCGUGCGUGUCGAUGGUGGCUCGCUCUAUUGAGCAAGAACGCUUGUGAGAGCGCGGGACUGUUUAAGGAUAGAACCCUAGAACCUUUUGUCAGGGUGCGUGAGUCGUGAAAUGUAAGCGAGUAAUCUCUGACGUUUAGGCCUCCGGGCAUGUAACCGCAUCGCGGUUUUCUUCUUAUCUAUUACUAUCUAUUAAAUUGGAGUUGGUGGUGAUGGUACGGUCGCGGUCGCCGUAGGUUAACUUCGUUAAAAUUACAACCAAUAUGCCACUACUCGUUAUUUUCUUUUCCUCCAGUUAAAAUUACAACCAACAUGCCACUGCCCGUUAUUUUCUUUUCCUCCAGUUUUUUUCACGAUUUUUCCUACUCCAUCUUACAACCGACGCUACCACACCCGCAUGCCGACCUCGACAGCGCCAUGAGUUGCCUACACAAAAAAUAAAAAUAAAUAGUUUGUGAUUUUAUUGACCCGUAGCAACACGUGGGCACACCUUCUAGUAAUUUUAAUACGCCUGACUAGUCGUAUUCUAGAAAAGAAAAAGUAAUUGGUGGUGGCGGUCGUCGUCACCCUUCUCAUCUCCUACCUAGGAUACCCGUACCGUCCGCCUCUGCGCCGCCGCCACGAUCCGCCCCCCUUCGCCGCCGCUACCCGCCGCCUCGUGGUUUCGUUGCCAGUCGCCAACGAUGCAUCUACCCUCCAUCAUCACCGCCACCCCCUGCCAACGCGCAUCAGACUCCAUCACCGCCUCCACGAACGUCGUCGUCCUUCGCCUCUCAUCACCGAUGUCUGUUUCUCCCUAAGAGCAUCUCCAGCCGCGCCCCCUAAAGGCCCCCUAAAUGGGUUUGGGGGGCGCCGGAGCCUAAAAUCCGACCCAGCCGGCCUCCCCAAUUUGUUUUUUCAUCCGGUGCGGCCCAGAAAUUUAUCCGACGCCCCCAGGCCGAACCCAACCCACGGGGGGGCGAGCGGAGGCGCCGGCUGAGGCGCAAAACCACGCGGGCCAGCACUGUCAGCGGCACAACCCCAAAAACGCACCCUGUUGCCCCGAUUUGCCCUGAAUCGCUGACUUCCACCCCCGAAUCGCCACCGGAACCACGCCUCUCACCGGCGACUUCCACCCCCGAACCUGCCACCGCAUAGAUCUAACCUUGCCGCCGCAGUUCCAAUUCCGCCGUCCACCGCCGGCCAGUUCCAGCACCACCUCGGUGCCCACCCAGUGGCCACCUCCUCGCUUCUUGCCGUCAAGGUGUUCGGCGAUUUGCCAAGGCCAUGGAUUCGGACGACGAAGAGAUGCUCGCCGCGCUUUUUGACGAGGAAGUCGCCGCCGCCGAUGAUGCUACCUCCGGCGGCGAACAGGAGCAUCAACUCAUCGUCUCGUAGCUUCUCGCCCUCAUCACCGAAGAUGCAGAGCCGCCGGGAAGGGGAGGAUCGAGGAAGGGCCUCCGCAAGAGCAAGGCGAGGCAAAGGAUGGAAGGCUACUGCAUGCUGUACGCCGACUACUUCGCCGAUGAUCCAUUGCACUACGAUGUGAUCUUUCGGCGCCAAUUCAGAAUGUCUCAGAAGCUUUUUUUUGAAGAUUACCGAGUACCUCCGGGACUACGACGAUUACUUCAAAUUGAAGAGGGACGCCGUCGGCACACUCGGUUUCACAUCAAUUCAAAAAUGCACGGUAUCCCUCCGGUUGCUUUCUUAUGGAAUUCCUGCCGAUACACAGGACGACUACCUCUGCAUGGCCGAGUCCACGGCCAUCGAUUGCAUGUAAGGGUUCUGUAGGGCAAUUGUGGCGGUGUUUGGAGAGCAGUACUUGAGGACACCCACCGCAGAAGACAUAGCUCGGAUCAUGGCACAGAAUGCAGAAAGAGGAUUCCCAGGUAUGCUUGGCAGCAUCGACUGUAUGCAUUGGUCAUGGAAGAACUGUCCAUUUGCACACCAGGGCAUGUAUAAAAGCCACAAAGGAUCAUGCAGUGUGGUGCUUGAGGCGGUGGCCGAUCAGGAUCUGUGGAUUUGGCAUGCCUUCUUCGGUAUGGCAGGAUCGCACAAUGACAUCAAUGUGCUGCAAUGCUCGAAUGUGUUUGCCAAGCUUGUUGAAGGCACUACUCCUCCGGUGAACUAUGAGAUCAAUGGCCAUGUGUACAAUAAGGGAUACUACCUGGCAGAUGGCAUCUAUCCAAGAUGGUCGACCUUUGUGAAGACAAUCUCAAACGCACCCGCAGGAGGAGCAAGAUCUUGGUUUGCGAUGCAACAGGAAGCAUGCAGAAAGGAUGUCGAGCGGGCAUUUGGUGUGUUGCAGGCUCGAUUUGCCAUCGUCCGGUACCCUGCUCUCACUUGGUCGACAGAUCAGAUGUGGGAGGUCAUGACUGUCCUGUGUGAUCAUGCACAACAUGAUCAUUGAGAGCGAGCGGGAAUGUCCGGUGUUUGACACUGAACUGUAUGAACAGAUGGGUCCUCUAGCCAAUGUCAAUCACCAGGUGCCGGCCGCCUUUGCUGCUUUCCUCGGCCGGCGGCAAGAAAUUCGAGACGCCGGUACUCAUCAGCAGCUUCAAGAUGAUCUGGUCGAGCAUUUGUGGAGGCUCCGAGGAAACGUGUAGUUUUUCUUAUUUAUUUGCUUGAAUUUGAUUAAAUUUGUUUGAAAUGUGAUUCAAAACUUAUCAAAUAGCGUGGUUGUUUCAAUUUGCAAUAUUUGUAAAAUUUGCUUUGGGGAUGCGUUUGGGGGCGCCGGCUGGGAAACAGCUUGACUUUAAAAACAAAAACCCGCCAGCGCCCCCCCAUACGGCCUAAAAAAGUGGCAGGCCGGACGCCAAAUGGGGGGUGCGACUGGAGAUGCUCUAAGCCCCCCAACCGAGCCCCGCGCCGUGCUCCUCUGCCCCCGGCCGCCGGUUGCAAAAGAUCUCAGACCGAUCUGCUUUCUUAAAACCUAGCAACUGUGAAUCAACAGGAAGGCGCUUGGUUUCCUCAGUUACAUCAAAUCCAACUCAAUCUGGAUUUGGAAAUUUUAUUUAACGCAUUGAUCACCAGCAGGCAAUCAGAUUCUGCACUUCUGCAGUGAAUGGUGCAGUCAGGUGGAUGCAGGCCAAGCGCAUCCCUUCCCUCCCAAGCAGAAAGCGCAGCCGGCCUGAGGUUUUAUUUUUUAGAGGACUCUAAGAGUAUUUUGGUUGGCAUACAUGUUUGUUUCAUGAUUCCUGGGCUAUGAUUGGAGAAUAAAGUUAGUCCUAACCAACAAGUUCUAGCAGAUUUGGAGCUAAUUUUUCCCUGUUCUUGCAUCGCAUGCAAAUUAUACCAGCAGAGUUGAAUUUUCUGAAUGAAAACUGAUCUUUAUGUCCAUUUGGGGAAAGUAGAAUUGAAUAUUGUGAGGGACUUUUUUUUCCCUGAAAGAUAACUGAUCAUUAUGCCCAUUUAUUUGGGGAAAGCAAAAUUGAACUUUGUGAUGCAGUUAUAGAGUCAACUUAAAGGAGCUAAACUGGCAAUCUGUCUGUAUGCCAAUUGUUGAUUGAGGUAGACAGUUUAAAAAGAUGUCAUGUUCAUGCAUUGCUUGACAUUGCACUGCUUUAUCGUACCUAUACCAUGUUGAAUCAUUUGAGGAAUGAGGUUGGUUAGACAACCUCAUUUUAGAUCUGACGGCGUGUCUUGGCUAUGAAAGAAGCAUGAAAAAAAAUUGAUGGAAUGUUGCUAUGAUAAAUAAAAAGGGUCUUCAGCAGAAGCCAUCUUAUGCUAUCUACACUAUUUUUUGGGGAAAAUUGGCAGCCCUCUGAUUUUGAUAACAAUGGUGCUACAGGAAUUAAUCGAACUACCCUACCUAUACAUGCUUAAUGAAUAUCCUGACUGGAGCUGCACUUGUGAAUUGUGAGCCUGCUUCGUGUAAAUGAUCGAUUUCUUCCUUUUCCUGUCUGGACAUAGACAUCUUGUCCAUUCUUACAAAAAAAAUGUUGUCUGCAUUUACCAAAACAAAACAUGGGCUUACUUUUUAGAUCCACAAUGACACUUGCUACAGCUGGAUCACUGCAUUCAUUGGUGCCCUCACUUCAUUUUGUUAAUUUUGCGGCCUGGUGAAUUAGUGUUUGGUCGACGGCCUAUUCAAGUUACUAAAGAUGAAAGAUCCAUAAAAUAUGCCCGAUCAGAAAGACCCUCCUCCAACUGUAUGAAGUAGUGAAACUUUUAUUGCUGGGCAAGUAAAGAAACUCAGGUGCCAUGUCAAUUUCUCAUUCUUUCCCGUCAUGUUCUAAUUUCUUGCUAUGACCUGCCAACUAUGCUAUGUCGAAUGUAUAUACCCUUUCAACUUAGCAUUUGUUUCAACAUUAUGUGCCUAUUGGUGCACAUACUUUAUAUCUUAAAACGUAAGAACAUAUUGCGGUCCAAAGAUAUAUCUGGAAUCGGUUCAUUUUCAUUAAUUAGAAGAACAUAUAGAAGCAGUUGUUGUUAACAUUUCUGUUAAUGGGAUUUUUCUAAAUUAGUGUGUUGCUUUUCGUAUUUUUGUUUAAGGGGAUGCAAAUCUGGGAUCGUAGUUUGCAAAAUUUACCUCUGUUCAGGCCUGAUGCACUAUUUUAUUUUGAGGAUUUUUGCACAAUAACAGUUUAUCCAGGGAUAUCCGCUAUAAUAAAGAUGUAAAUAAUGUAAAGACCAGUUGGGAUUGUUCUCUCUGUUUUUAGAUGGAUUUUUGGCUGGAUUUUAUUGUAGCGGCAGGAAAACGCACUGGACUUCUGGAAGAUAGGUGGGCACUUAUAUCUUAGCGGCAGGCCAUAUGGAACAAGUGGGCACCGAUAUUUCAGUGCUUUACUGCUUUUGUUUUCUGAUAUCUACAAGGUGUUGUUGUGGCAAGUCUUUGUCUUGUCAGGGUGUUGCUAUUGCUUUUAUCUGUUCGGGGCUAACUAUAGCCUUUGAGCUUGGAGGUCGUCGCCGAGUCAUUUCAAGUCGACACGAGUUUCAAUGUUUUGGAAUAUAACCAUACUAUGUUUUGUAUACACCAUGAAUUUUCACAUGUAUUAUGUGUAGUAAUCACCGUAUGGGAAGCAAAUGCAAGAUGAUAUUGAUUACAUCCAGUCAUAAGACACAUGUGUGAAUUAUAGUCGUUUUUUUAUCGGUGCUUACAAGCUUGAUUUUAAAGUUCCGUAGCAACGCAUGGCACCGUCCUAGUACACCCUAAUAAACUUAGCAUUGAAUGUCAUGUACAUUGAAUUCUUAUUGGAUUUAAAAACUCAUAAAUUUGGGUAGUGGUGUUUUUGAAUGGCGCAUAGAAUUAGGAGAGAGAGUAGAGAGAUGAAGAGAUAAAAUGCAUUAGACUUCUCAAAAGGAAAAAAAAUGAAUCUUGAGCUCAUGUUAGAAUUUCUAUGGAAAGGCCAAAGGAAUGGAUUUCAUAGGAUUUUUCCCUUCAUUCCUGUGAUUUAAAUGGCUCUUUCAGGAAAACAAAUCCUAAGGAUUAAAAUCCCGCAAAUUUGCUUUUGAAAAUCCUACGAUCCAAAGAAACCCAUUCGCGGGAUUUCAAAAACAUAGGAAUAUGAAAACAAAAGGUAGGAUUUGAAUAUCACGGUAUGUUAAAUCCUACAGAAACUCAAAAUAUAAAAAUGUGUAGCGGAAGUUGUUUGAUUGCAGCACAGAAAAAAUGCAAGAUUUGUUUAAAGUAUUACGUGUUACUCAUAGUUGUCAUAGAGACGAAAGAAAUUUUAAAUUUUCCUUCAGAAUAGAAUGCAAAUUAGUCAAUGGGAAAUAUUCCUAUGGUUUUAAAACAUGCAAAUAGAAUGAGCUAUAAAGGAAUAAAAUCCUUCAAAUUUCCUAUUAAUUUUUUUUUGAAUCGAAGAGGCCAUGAACCGAAGAACGAGGAGUAUCUACUCCCUCGGUCACAUAUUAAGUGACUCAGAUGUGUCUAAAAUGGAAUAUAAUAAAAUACGUCUAAAUACAUGAAAUAUUUUGGCACUUAAUAUGAGACGGAGGUAGUAUUACGGUUAAGCCUGUUAUGUUCAGAUAACAACACUUUCAACCGAGUACUGUGAGUAUUGUGGUCGGGUUCCAGUGGGACGCACGUACUUCAUUGAUAAAAAGAUGAUUACUGGCGAACACAUUUUACACCAACCAAAUUUGAGAAAAGACGAGGCAAAAAUGUUACUACAGCGCACUUACACCUAAAACAUUUUUUUUAGGGUGAAGUGUGAUCCUUAAGUGAGGGGCGCCCGCGUAAUGAGCUGCACCGACCGGUGCGCGUCCCAUAACCCUAAACCUCCUGCGCUGCCUUGUGAGGUCUACUCCUCCGCAAAAAACUGUUCGUUUGGUGAUUCCCAAGAAAACUAAGCACUUUGCAGAAACCCCCUCCUUCCCUCCUCCCCCUCCAUUACUCUCACGCAUCACUAAAACCACAAUAAAUGCAGCGCAUGCCACAACUAUUAUGAGGCAGAAAAUAAACAACAAAACUACUUCCCGCCAACACCUAAGCAAAGUACUCCCACCAUAUUAGAAUUAGCAGUGCCCGCCGGAUCACAAUUAGCAAAAAAUUUGAAUAGCCGCCAGAUAUCAAUUUGGAAGUCCAAAGGACUUAACCAGCUAUGAAGCCACACACUUGCACCCAACUGAAUAAUCCCGCAGACACACAUUCUCUCUCUCUCUCUCUCUCUCCAUGGCAAUUGAUCUGAACAUAGCACAGGUUGAGGUAGAAGAUGAAGAUGAGCCUCCCUUGCAUGAAGAAGAGCUCUAGGCCGGUCAUCACUUUGAUUUGAACACGAACCCAGGUAAGGUGCUUGCUGAUCAUGCAAGGAUUUUUUACUCCUUCACAUACUGAUGGUGUCUUUUGUUGCCGUAGAAGAUGAACACGAGGCUGCCAUGCACCAAGAAGAGCUCCAGGCCGGUCAUCACCCAACCGUAGAAGAUGAAAAUCAGGCCAAUGUUGACCAUGGAGAAGAGGAUCUGCAUGAUUUAGAUGAAUCAGGUUAGUACAACAACUAGCCAAAUUGAAUGUUUCGUUACAAUCUUGGACCUUAAAUUUCUUUUGUUGUAGCUACAAAAAUCCAGUGGCAUACCAAAAUCCAUUUCUAAACUAAAAUCCAUUUCUAAACUGCAAGUGUUUUGCGGUAUAGAAACAGGGAAGACAAACAACAUCAGAUGAACUCUAGUACCUGAAAUAGGAAAUAAGUUCUCAAAUAUUCAAAUUGUUGGCUACACAGAUUAUGUUGACCAUGGAGAAGAGGAUCUGCAUGAAUCAGAUGAAUCAGGUUAGUAAAACAAGUACUCACAUUUGUAUUUGAACAUUUCAUUACAAUCUUAUUAAAAUACUCGCAUAACCUCACCUUUUAGACAAUGAGCUUGAAGACCAAGCUGGUGCUUUCCAGACCAUGGAAGAGGAACUACAAGAAAUGGAUAAUGCUCUAGAAGAUCUUCAAGUUGACGAGGAAGACUAUGGUGUGUAUGCAGGUGAUGUAGAGGUUGAAUUUGAUGAAGAAGAGCUCAAUGAUACAGGAUCAGAAGAAGAUGUUGAAGUGCAGCAAGAGCAAUCCCAUAAUGAGCAAGUUCAUGAUGAAGGCAAAUACAAGAAUUUGACAGAGUUGCAAAGGUCCAGCAUUUAUGCAGAAUUGCUAGCAAGAAGUGUUGAUUGGAAAUUAAAGAAGAACACAACCAAAGAAGUUGCAAACCUCUUCAAUGUUUCAGUGUACAAGGUCAGACGUCUUUGGAGGAGAGUGAAGGAGUGUCGUCAACAAGGCAUACCCGUUGAUGAAGAUCAAGGAAGCAAAAAAACUGUGGGCAUAAAAGGAUUUUAGUUGACCUCAAUGAUGUUCCUAACAUUCCUCGGAAUCAACGGAGAACUAUACGUAGUCUUGCCAUAGCUUUGGGUGUGAAGAAAACCACACUUCAUAAGAUUUUUACAGAAGGCUUGCUGGAUAGGCAUUCAAGUUCGCUCAAGCCAUAUUUGAGGGAAGCAAACAAGAAGGCUAGGCUUCGGUUUUGCAUCUCUAUGUUUGACCAACAGAGCUUGCAAACUAGGCCGACAUUCAAGGACAUGCGUAACAUAAUCCAUUUAGAUGAGAAGUGGUUUAACGGCACACAAAAGACCAUGAAAUUCUACAAGCCGCCAAUGGAAGAGGACCCACAUAGGACUGUGCAAAAUAAAAACUCCAUUGGCAAAGUAAUGUUUCUGGUUUUAAUAGCAAGGCCUAGAUAUAGUGCAGAAGGUAUUUGCAUUUUUGAUGGGAAGAUAGGCAUUUGGCCCUUUAUUAAAAAGGUGAAUUCCAACUUUAACUCUUUGUAAUUAUUGUGCACAUCAGCAUUUACUCUAACUUGAUCAUAACGUUUAUUUAUUUGUUUGUUUUUGGUUCGCUCAACCGUUUGUUUGUUUAUUUUAGGAGCCAGCACCAAGGAGCAGUGAUAACCGUCCAAGAGGGACACUAAUCAUCAGAACUCUCAAAGUUAAAAGGGAAACGUGAAGGCAGUUUUUGAUCCAGAAAGUACUACGUGCUAUUCAGGCGGUUUGGCCUCAAGAGCUCGCCGGUGAGACCAUAUGAAUCCAGCAAGACAAUGCGCCCUCACAUAUCCCAAGUGAUGACCCGGAUUUCGCUAAUGCCGAUGCCCAAACAGGACUUGAUAUUCGCCUCGUGCAGCAGCCUGCAAACUCACCGGACAUGAAUAUCUUAGACCUUGGCCUAUUUUCUUCACUACAGUCCAUGUCAGCUAGACUCGUCUCUAACAAUUUAGAUGAGCUAAUCAACAAUGUGAAGCAAGAAUAUGAUGCCUAUGAUGCCGAUAAGAUCAACAGGGUUUUCCUUACACUACAAAGCUGCCUAAUUGAGGCCAUGAAGAUUGGAGGAGGCAAUCGCUACAAGAUUCCUCAUGUACAAGGAUGGCCUAGAGCGUACAGGAAAUCUUCCUAAUGUUCUAGGUUUUGAUCGCGAGCUCUAUGAGAGCGUUUUACAAACCUUAGCCGACUAAAGGUUGUAAUGGUAGAUGUGGUAACAUUUUGUAAUGCUGGACUUUUGUAAUGCUGGACAUUUGGUUAUUUCAGAUGCAACAAGCCAUGCAACAAGAAGAUUAUUUUUGGCGUAUUCAAGUGCUGCAGGUAUAACAGAGAGAACUAGAUUUAACUUUCUAUGAUCAGCAAUAGGCCUGACAAUUACUUGUAUCAGUACAGUGCAGACUUAUUUCUGGUAGCACAAAAUAACAAUAAACUGAACCUAGCUUGAUAUCAGAGAGCAAGAAGAUGUAGGUUGUAGCUCCUUGGUAAAGAAAUAGCAAGUUCCUGUAGAAUAUCGUCAGUUUUUCGGUGUAGUGCAGCUAGAACCCAAAAAACCACCAAAAAUAAAGUUUAUGCUUUGUUCCCAGAUCUGGUAAACCGGGUUAUACAUCUAGAUGCUUUGUUCCCAGAUUUGUACACUUUUUAUUGAUCACACACAAAAGAUUGGAGUAACACAAAUGCUGCAACCCUUUUGAUAUUAUCCAUCAGCUAGCAACCCUUUUCUAUAUAAUCUCUUAUAUGUAAUGGUUCAGAUUUGUCCACAUUUGUUCUGUAUUCUGCUGGUUGUGUCUGAUUAUAAGAACAGUAUGUAAUCUGCCAUUUAGCUUCUCCUUUUUGAUUUACAAAUAGCAUGAGUAAUUUUAAUCCACGGUUCGUCAAUUGUCAAUCGUAUUUAGCACAACAUCUCUCAAGAAAAAGAAAGAAGCAUCCUCACUAAAUUGUGCACCGGGCACUCAAAAUAGCUUUAGACAAAAGAUAAAUCACCACUUUAUUGCAUAAACCAAGACUCGAUUAUUGAUUCAACAUCCACAAAUCAUGCGUUCAGAUGAUGAGCUUACUCGCUACUUGCAUUUCUUCUCGCUGACAUGCCCAGCGCCGUCCUGCACAGCACCUUGACCAGCGCCAUCGCCGGCUACAGCACCGCCGCCGCCAUCGCCGGGUACUCCACCGCCACCGCCAUCCUCGUCUUCAUCUAGGUCUACGAGCUUGGCCCCGCGUUGCCUCGGCCGAAAGAACCUCCGCGGCAGGAACACAGGCGGACGAGGCCUGGAGGGACGAGCACUGACAGGACCUCCAGAUCCGCGGCCGCAUGCUGCGCCGCCGGCAGCCGCGAGGCCCGCGACGGCCUUGGCGAACUGGCCCGCCCCUCCGUCCGCCAUGGCUGAUUCCGUGGGACGCACGAGGGCUCACCGGAAGCUUAUAAGAACCGGCUGCCAUUACUCCGGGACGACGGCGACGGGCUUCAAUUGGAGGCUGGGGCGACGGGAAUCAGCGAUUGGAUCGGGAAGGGAGGAAGUUGGGGGAGAAGAUGGGGAUUAGGGGUUGGGGCGGGUCGUCGGGGAGACCGGAGGGGAUUGGGCUCAGCUGAAUUCAAGGCAUAGACCGGACGGGAAGGAAGGGUGUGAAUGAAAAAUUGCAUCCAAACGUACGGUCUUUUGCGGAAAAACUGUCGAGCCAAAGGAACUUCUUUUGCGGACGGCAUGCAGGGUGUGUGCCUGUAUGUGGCCAGGCCCAUGGCGCACACCGACCACGUCUUACACCUAAAACUUGGAGAGAGCAUAAUUGUACUUCUACACCCCAAAUUGCACGUGGCGGCAGCUGAUCGGAGCUGCAACGUAUAAUUGUACUUUUACACCCCAAAUUCCUGCGCCAUUCCUAGGCUUUGAUGGAGUCAAACUUCCCCAACUGAUAGAUCGAGUACGGGUUCUCGUCGUGCACCCCCAGGCAUCCACCGGCUGCGGCGCCCGCCUCUCUCCCUCCCUCAGGCCAAGAGCUUCCCGUGUGGCUCUCUCUCCUCCGGCGAAGCUCGUCUCAGCUCUCCCUCCACUUCACCACGGACGGCGGCGCCCCUUGGCACAGCUCGACCGUCGAGGGCUAGGAGGUCCCUCCCGCACCGGCAACACGAGCACUGACCUCCCUGAGCCGCAGCCCUGCCUUCCAUUAAGGUUAGCUCCAUGAAUAUUUUUCUGAGACGAAAUUGACCGUGUUGAUGCUAGCUAGUUCUGCAACGAUUUCCACGGCAGCCGGUCCUCAUCCGCCCCUCACCGCGGGUUCGACGAGCUGCACGAAUGCCCGCCCUCAUCUACUGUCACGGUGAGAAACACGUGUACCUAACCUGUUCGGCAGAAUGCCUGUGAGGAAUAUUUGUUUAUUAAUCAAGUUUCCUUUAGUUCUUGUGAAGAUGAAAACGAAGUUGUUUUAAUUUACUCUUUUCAUUUGUGAUUUGAUUACCUUCAAGCAAUUCCCAAAAUGAAUGCCUGCAACACUUCCUUUGGAAGUUUGGAUCUUUUCAUGGGACUUCUCUUUUCCUUGAGGACUUGCCAUCUGUUUCACCAGCAGCAGUAGCUGCAGUUCCCUGGAAAGCUUUGAUGCAUUAGAUGGAUAACAAAUGUUUUUUUUGUUAAAACAAUGUUCCUUUGUGGUAGAUUCGUGUAGGCGUUAUUCUGCUGACUGUGGUACCCACUGUUAGGAUAAAUUUGCUGAUUUAUAAUUUGUUUUACGAUGACCUGAGAAGCUCGUUUUUCCAUGAUCUAAUCAUCGUCUCACAAGUAGAAACAUCAAUUACUGAAAUUUAUUCAUCUGCCGCUAGCAAUUUUGUUUAUCAGUUUAUUCUUGAUUGUUUCUACAAUUACUUGGGCUUGUAAAAUCUGACUGCGGUACAGCUCGCUGUACAGAACGGUAAAAUCCCUUGCAAAAUCUGAAGUAUUUGAUAGGGGAAAAUUCUAUACCUAUGUGAAUAAAUCUGAAUAUAGCAAGCCACUAUCAAUUCAGUUAAUUCAGGCUAACUAUGUAUAGUUUCAGUGUCAGUUUUUUUAUAGGAUCCUACAAUGUAAGAUCUUGUAAUGUAAGAUUCAGUUUAUUGAGGCUAACUAUGUACUUUCAGCAUACUUCAUGUAAUCUAAGAUCAGGCUAAAUUCCUAUAACGUAAGUUCCAAUUAUCUGAGUACAGCAAGCUCCUAUAAAUUCAGUUUAUUCAGUACCGUUCGCCGUACAGUUUAUUCAGAUUCAGGCACAAUAGAGCAAUAAAUUAAAAUUAUUUGAUAGGGGUUUGCUGUACUGAAUUUUGGUUCCAGAUUUUUUUCUAACCAUGUACUGAUACCAAAGUAAGGGUACAAUUAUAAUUAUAAUUCUGAAGCUAAGAUCUAAGAAGAAACCUGCAUCCAUGGCUCUGUUGGGACCGCAGCCCCUGGAACUGCAGUUGGGGUCGCUUUACCAUGAACUACAGGAGGAGAGCUUCCUGUAUUGGCCCAAUAGUCCAUUCCUAUGUUUAAGGUUGUAGUUGGACCAGGCACUGAACUACUCGAUGGCAUUGGCAUCGAUUGCCAAGAUUUGCUUCAAUUUUGCUUGGAUCUUGUUCUUGUCCAAUUUUGCUUGGGAGGCGGCAUUGGCGAGCUUGAUACACCAUUCUGGGAUCUUCGAAUUUCUGACAAUAAACACAUCGAAAUUAUGAAGCUUCAUAAAGUGCCAAAAGGGAAGCAAGCAGCCACAGAGAUUUAUUCUGUGCUUGCGCGACCAGUUUUUUUGCCAAACAAUUGAUAUUUGUGUUGAUGCCUAGGAGGGGCCAACUGCAUGAGUUCUUCUUUACCUUAUGUAUUGUGGCUGCUCAAGAGCUUGUGGCCAUUGUCUUGCCAUUUGGAAAUCUGAUUGUUGGUGAUUUUGCUAAGCAUUUGUAUGAAUGUGCAAUGUUAUGAUCGUGUGCUUUUGCCCGACGUCAUGAGCUAGCAAUGGUCUGUUAGCAGCUCGUACAGGAUGUAAUGAAAUUAGCUUGUGUGGGUUAAGUCAAACACGUAAAUGAUUUUUGCGUGUUCAAGGUAGUACUCGACUACUCGUGGUGAGCUCCCGGCAACUGCAGAUCAUGAGGCUCAGGGGCGGGCAAACCUAACAAAAACAUAAUCUUACGAGAUCCCUACCUAUGAAGCUGCAAAAAAAGCUGCAUGUAGGUUACGUUGCAUGCAGAGAAAGUGGGUGGAGCGGGGCGGAAGCAGGCUCGGGCGCUCGGCUUGUCAGGGGCGCGGGGAGUUGGGUGGGGUACAGAGGGCGACCCAUAUAUAAUAUAGUUCAUCUCCAACAUUACAUAUAGAAACAUAAAAAUAAACAACUAGGGACAAAAAAAAUUAUUCUUGCACGCUUCCGGUUAUCUUCCCCAAGGCCUUGUUACAUUUCUCAAGUGCACCGAUCAAGGAUCGGAGCGCUUGAAGUGAUACCGGAAGCGUUGGAGAUCCCGGAGGCGGUGCCGCAGGAGAUGAAGGAGGCGGUGGUGGAAGCGCCGGAGCUUCAGGCGGAGAUGGAGCUGGAGGAGAUGCAGGCGGUGGCGGUGGAGGUGGCGGCGGCGGUGGCGGCAGGUCGUCCUGGCCGCUGGCGGUGGCGUCGGUGGUGGCGUUGUCGUCGGUGGCGGGUUUGGGAGGCGGCGGCGGAGUUCGCCGUGGUACAGAACGGCGUCGGCUAGCUAAUUUAUGGUUUUUCCGGCGCCGCUUCCUCCAACGAACCUCCUCAUCGUCUGAUGUGACCGGCUCUGGCCGCCUCCGGUAAGGGCUUUCGCCGUCUAACUCCCUCCUCUCUGGCUCAAUGGAGGAGGUCUGGAACGAGUCGCCCAGACCACGUCUGCAUGUAGAAGGAUGCCAUAUUUUUCGAUCGCAAGGCCGCCUGAAUGAUCUUUGUAGGAUGCACAGGCCGGAAUAUAUAUAUAUAUAUAUAUAUAUAUAUAUAUAUAUAUAUAUAUAUGCAUAUAUAGAGUUAUUGCUUGGGAAAUCGAAACGAUUAAGGCAUUGAGUUUGCAUGGGAAGACGAAAUGAUGAAGGACAAAGGGUGCACGGGAGCUCACCGCAUUUAAAAAUGACACCUCUGAUGUGUGGCACACAAACAACGUCAGAGGAGUUAUUUAUUUGGACGUGUCAGAAGUGACCUAUAUAGUGACACUUCUGUUUUCGGAAGCGUCAGAGGAGUUUUCGAAUCUUAUAAAGAGGUUCACGGGGUGCCACUCGUUGCAGAGACGUAGCGUGUUUCAGUUGAAUCGAGCAGAGUAUGAGCCUAUAGCCAUGGCGCUCCUGGCGACCUGCCUCUGAAGUACACACAUACACCUCUUUAUCCGGUCCAUGGCCUCCGCCUCCGGUCCGUUUCCCAGCCUUGCCCCCUGCCUAUAAAUACUCUCAAACGGAGGAAGACGAUACACUGCGAGCUCCUCAUAUAUUUUACCUCCAUCAACCUCGCCAUGGUUCGUCUAGAAGGUUUUGUCUUGAGAGGGUUUGUAGAUCCGCUUCGUCCGAUUGCUCCACCGACGGCUGCUCCGCCGUCGUUGGCGAGGCCGCUCAUGUGGCGUCCAUUGGCGCCUCCGCUUCAUCCGUCGGCUACACCUCUGCUGCCAGUUCCUUCAUAGACGGAGGACUACAUCGCACUCUCCUCCAACUCGGACACCCCUCACGGCUCUUCUGAGGUCAGCUCCAUCAUAUGCGGUGUCUUCGGAGAACGAAACGGUGGACAACAGGUUGCGCCCGUCAAGGCUCCCCAUCCGGACCUGCGAUGAUGCCGUGGAUGAAAGGAUGCGGCAAUGAUGCCGGCCUUGACGUGCCCACAGGCGCUUCACUUCCGUCCACCACCAUUCCCGUGCCCAUCGCCUCCUCCACGAUUCUUGUGCUCCGGCUCUCCCUUCUCAUCGUCCCCCAUGUUGCUGCUCUUUGUCGUUGCGCCGCCGUUCACCAUUAUUGUCUCUACUUCAGCGCGUCUUCCUCCGACGGCAUACAAUGCCACGAUAACCAUCGCCAAUGCAGAAUGCCCAUCACCACCCUCUAUGGCACGGUUGUGUUAGAUGUUUCAAUUUCUUAGUGUUAGAUCUUGUGCAAUAUGCAGUGUAUGUUAAUUUGGAUCUUGUGUAAUGCAAUGUAUGCCUGGAUCUAUGCAAUGAAAAUCUUUGAUCCUGCAUUUGAUCAAAACUGGCUGCUGACCACGUGAAGAAAAAGCGUAAGUGGGUGCAAUUUUUUUUGAAACUGCACGAACGUUCUCUGACGCAUCUUCGCAAAUUAUAUGUCAGCGGAGAAAUCUCUCUAACGCUUGUAUUGUUAAAACGUGUCAGAGGAAAUGUCUUCUCUGACACUUCGCCGAUGAGCAAGUGUCAGAAGAGUAACCUCUACGAGCAAGUAACCGGCUCGCACUUGUUCAGCUAUGACACUUCGCUCGUAAGAAGCGUCAGAACGCAAUCCAUCUCUCUGACGUGUCUCGAGGUGUCAGUAGUAUUUUGGUUAUCUCCGACACUUGAUUAGAGACGCGUCCGUUUUGCGUCAGCGUAGAGGUUUUUCGACACGUCAGAAAUAAGUGAUUCUGUAGUAGUGUCUCCUUCCUCAGUUUUGGCCUGCUGCUACCCCACUUGCCGAUCUCUCUCUUGACGUUUUGGUGGGCUUGUCCGGCCGGGGUGGUCCUGAUGUUGCAGUUAUUCUUCAAGAGGCUUGGCGGCGGGCGUGAAGCAGUUGUUGAGGUCCGGUGUGCGACUUCAUCGUCUCUUCGGCUUGUUGUUGCGCAGUUCUUUGUGGUGGUUAUGGCUAGGUUCUGGUUCAAACUAGUUAUGGUCGGUGGUGUGGUCUUUCCUUUUGCCACUUGUAGGCGUUGUUCUUGCUGUUUCGGCGUUGUACUAGCUUUCUGGCUCUUGUCUUUAAUCGAUGAUAUGCACCUGCUGGGUUGCAUUCUUCAAAAAAUAAAAUUGUUGAAUCAAAAACUUAAUAAAUAAUGUGCUUGUUUGAAUUUGAAAUAUUUAUAAAAUUUGGUAUAUGGGAACCGUUUGCGGCGGGGGACACGGCUGGAGAUGCUAUUGCACCUGAAACGUGGAGAGAUCAUAAUUGUACUUGAACACCCCAAAUUGUAGUGGCGGCAGGCGGCAGCUAGUCGAUCGGAGCUGCAAUGUAUAAUUGUAGUUGUACAGCCUCAAAUUCGUGCACCCUUCCAUCAUCUUGUUAUUUAUUCCUAGGUGACGCUUUGAUGCUCAGAAUUCUCAAUCACAAGAAUAAUAAAAUACAAAAUCAAAGUGUCAUAUUUUUAAAGAAAUAUAUCCUUCGAAUCAAAUACUCCCUCAUUUAUGCAUUGCGUCCUAGCGAUAUUCCUUCAGUCAACUCUCCUGAUCACGGCCGUGACGAUGAGUCACCAUUUCGACACUGUUGACCCCGCUGGCCAUAUGAGGAUCCUCGCAAGUCGCGGGCUAUCUUUUCUCUCUCCCUGGAGACCCGGCAUGGAAGGUAGCGGUGGAUCCGUCGAUAUAGAGCCAACUCAACCAUGACGUGAUGGUGCUGUGACAGUGAUUGCCUUCCCAAAGCGCAGCUGUUGCCUCUGGUGGCCGAUUAUGGGCGGCCUCUCCAAAGCACAUACCUGACCGGUGACCCUCUACGACUUGUUGGUACCAUCGCUAGUUGAAGUUCGAGGGCAGGUGCUAUGAAUUGAGGCUGCAGGUGCCAACGAAGUUGGAGUUGGGAUAACGUGCCAGAGAGUGAUCAGGAGGAGGGGGAGGAGGAGGAGCGUGAUGCGUCUUCUUCUAUCCUACAGUUCCACUCCUUUUUGUACGGAGGCAGCAGCAAUUGAUAGUUUGUGUAGCCAGCUGAGGCGUCCGUCCACGCAGAUGUCCGUCCUUGCAGCAAGCGAUUAUGUAGGCCACAGUGUUGGCCUGGUCCGAAUGAAAGAGUAGCGCCACCGACGACACGCAACCAGAUUGAAUGCAUAGUACUACGUCCAACCUUUGGAAUGCCAUAGGUGUGGUAGUAAGUGGAGUACAACAACUAUAUUUAUAGCGACCGGUAUAAAUUAACUCCCUCCGUGUGCCGGCAUGAACGAAGGUUCCAACGCCGUGCAGAAUGGAAUUUCACUGCCAAGCAGCGCUCCAGCCUUCGUUUCAUGCGGGGACCUAAUUCCACGGUAAGCCCUUCGUCCUGAAAUCUGAUUUUUUUUUUCUUUUCUUUUUGAACACACCCUGCUAUCACUAGCCUUAAAGUGGAGCCAAAGGCAAAAAAGAGCCACAAUAAAAAAAAAAAGAGCAAAGCAAAAAUGAUAAAAUCAAGACGUUACCACAUAACACUACGUGUCUGUCCACAGGCAGGAAAAGAAAGCGUCCCAUUUAUGUCUUUCGCAAUGUGCCAAAGCCAAAUUUGCCACGUAGUUCAAUUUAGCACCGGUGUUCAAUGUGUCUUUCCUCUCCAGCGCAGGUGAUGAUAAAUUGUGUAAGGAUGGGACCCACGUUACACCACAUAAAACCCUUGCAAUAUGUCCAAGGCGUUGCUCAGUUGCUGACUAGGGCACCAUCGACAAGUUUUUAGGUCUGGCCUCGCAAAGGAGAAGAGCACAUGGAACCAACCUUUCUGACAAAUCCAAACUUGAUAUCGGAAGUUGAAGAAGCCAUCGUCGUUGAGGCCCUCUUUGGAUCAUAUGAAUUCUGCAUGAAAAUAGAGGAUUCUGGACCUAAGGAAUAAUUCCUAUAUAUACAUGGCCUUUGGAUCAUAUUACAUAGGAUAGGAAUAUUUCCUCCAAAUUUCGGUGGAAUUUAAGCGUGAGGUCUAACCUCGUGGAAAUUUUCUUUUGGAAGUUUCAAUGCAUGUUCUCUCUUGCUCCAAUUAAGUAUCAUCUAAUCUUACAUUUCUGUGUUUUUCUUGUGUAGUAUCCAUACACUUAUUGAUCCGAGCUAGUGAUCUUGUCUGAUGCAUUGAUAAGUUCAGACACCACGCCUGGGCUUGUCCCCGAACGAUGUGUGAAUGACGGGGGCUUUUCUCAUCACACGGGAAUUCCUAGUGCAGCAUUUAAAUCCUUCUUUUAGGAGGUUAAGACUUUUGAAGGUUCCCUAACCAAAAUUUAUGGCAGCUAGGUUCUGAAUGCUUUACAGGCCUCUUAGAUCGGUGGGAUUUUCAAAACAGAAGAAAUAUAGGAUUAAAGUGCCAUGCGAUCAUGAAUACUCCAUCCAAUUCUGAAUACGGAGUACAUGCUUAUCUAGACAAAAUUAUUAUCAUUAAUUUGUAUAGGACGGAGUACUACAUAAUUAAAUGAAUGUUUGAUUGUGCAUGAAAAAAUAGUAAUCCUACUAAGAGCUUGGUCUGGAUGAAAAUUUCCUGCGAAAUACUCCCUCCAUUCCAUAAUAUAAGACGCCCACACAUUUCGAGAUCCAACUUUGACCAUCAAUUAGACUAACAAAAUGUAAAUUAUGUGUUAUAAAAAUUAUACCACUAGAUUCAUGUCUAAAAUAAGUUUCCGACGGUAUAAUUUUUAUAAUACAUAAUUCAAAUUUUGUCGGUCUAAUUGGUGGUCAAAGCAAAAUCUUGAAAUGUGUACGUGUCUGAAAAGGCAUUUCGAUCCCUAAGUGUUUUGGUGUUAAUGACAACAUGACAUGUGGACUAAUCGUGUGCUUGAGUAUUUCAGAUUUGAGAUCAAAUGGCACAAGACGGUUCGUUGCCCUCAAAAAGGAAAGAAGCGUAGCGGUGUUUAGCGGGGUUUUUAAUUAUAUUGAGUCGUAAGAACUCCGUACUAUAAAGAGUGAGUCCACAUGAGAAGGUAAUGGGUGAAUCAACUUCACGUACACAUAUCUACCUUAUUUUGCACCCACUAAAAAGCCUACCCAAAAAGUGGGAGAAGAAACCAAUCUCCAAAGAUCAGUUUUUAGGCUGCCAGAAUUUCAGGGGUGGAAGUUCCGGUCCGAUGGGAGGAACUUCCGGUCCAACUUCAAGGGAGGAAAUUCCGGUCCAACUUCCGGUUGCUCUCGGGUGAUUACGAGAAAAAAUGCGGAAGUUCCGGUGAUUCAGCGGAACUUCCGGUAAUAUGCGGAAGUUCCGGUGAAUGACCGGAAGUUUUGGCCUGACUCUGCGCAUUACAUAACGGUUCGAUUUUGGGGACCCCUUAUAAAUACCCCUUCGUCCCCUGGUCUUUUGCCUGAGCAAAAGCCAAGAACAGGCAAUUUCUCUCUCCCCAAGAACAAAAACUUCAUUUCCCUCGAUCUCCCUCCAUAGUUAAUCCCCCAAGCCUAUACUUUGAGAUUUGGAGGAGAAGAUUGAGAUUUAGGGUUUCACCAAGCCAAAACGUUGAUUCUCCUUAUUUUCUUUGUGGAUUUUGUUACUCUUGAGAUUUUGGGAUCCCUAGCCAGAAGGUGUCUACUCAAGGCGACUAAUCUUGUGAGGUGGUGCUUGUGGAUUCGGGAAGGAGCCUCCAAUCUUGUGACUUGUAAGAUAUGAAACCGCAAGUAUUAUGAAAUAUUUUUAAUAACGAAUCUAACGAUACUAAUUUCAUGUCAUAUAACUCACAUCUUAACGUAGUAAUUUGUGAUCAAACCUUUAUCUUAAUAAAAGCUAAUAUGUCAUCUUCUGAGGAACGGAAAGAGUAUUUGCAUUCAUAAAAAUCAAAUGAGUCCCAUAAGAAAAAUUCUUAAGACCAAAAAAUCUCUAAAAAUUUCUCUAAAAUCUUUUGAAUCAAAGAGACCCCUAUUGUAUUAGUAUGAGAAAUAUUUUAAGAGGCAAACAAUUUGAAACUCUGCGGUUCGAGAGAACUGUCUUCAUCCGUGUCAUAUGCCUCUGUUUGCAUCGACGAUUUGAACCUAAGAAUCUUAUUCUAUUCCCCUAGGGAAAAGAGGAAACGAAUAGGUUAUACACUACAGCUGCCAUAGGGUUUCGGAUUUGAGCCGGACACAGGCAGACUUGGUACUGUCUCAGAAAGAAAGGAAGCGAUAGGUCGCGUGGAGCACCACUGCAUGCCUGCCCCUCUAUAGUCUUUUUCUCACCUCACUCACGCAGGAACGCGGAGGUGGUACCGAUAACGCCAUCUCGCCGUAUGUUCAGAACCCCACGAUCCUGCGUUGAGAUUCGUGCCUAGAUGUUUUUAAACGAUGGGAUAAAACAGAAAAGGAUUAAUAUGUCACGUCCUAGGCUGUCAGCACAUGUGGGGAGAGCAGAAGUACUAGACUAGGUGGCCCACCCCUGUCCUGCACUGUCCUUGCCUGACUUGACUUGACCGAACGGAGAGAGGAGGGAGAAAGAAAUUUCUAGUUCUCUUCUUCAUCCCAAGUUCUCCCGGUCCCGAGACUGGAAGCCAUUUGUGCCGCCCCCCAUUGAAGAUCUGUUCCAUGAACUUCUAGUUUUUCUUUUCUAAACUUGGUAGCGUACUUUGUGGUACAUAAUUUAUAAGUGUAAGCUUCAUGACGAAAUAUUGGUACGAGCUCACUGACAUUCAUGUUAUUCAGGUUCAUGGAUCCGCCGGAGGAAGAGUCUUCCUCCUGCAGUGCUGCUCAUCCUCGUCACGUGAACAUUUGCGGUGGACGAACAGAUGUCACGGAAGGUGACGCUCAUCCUCCACCAUUUUUCGAAGGUUCUUACGAAGAGUGGAGCGAGGUUGGGGCAUCCGUGGAUGAGAGCGGCGUCUCGGCAUCUUCAAGAAGGUGAGCUUAACAGCUUUUGCAUAUUUUUUUUGGGUACGUGCUUGUUUCAUUGCAUCGUUUGGGUAGUAAGGUGAUGUACCUUACAUUGUUGGCCCUGAUGUCUUUAAGAAGGAGUACUAUUUAUUAUGUUUAGCACGUACCAGUCAGAGGUUUAUUAUGCUCCCUUGUACAUGUAUUCAAGUUUAGGACUGGUAUGUAGAAUAACGUCCGCUAGACUAUUUUUUAUGCUCCCUUGUACAUAUAAUUAACUUUGGCACGUGAUGUACUUAGGAGUGCUAUGAAGAAUCAUGUAGGUACAUCAACCAUUCUAGUUAUGCUUUAUUAAUUUUUUUUGAAGUCAAACUUUACGAGUUUCUUGUACUUCGAUUCUAUAUUGUGCUAUGUACGUACGAAUUAUAUGAAUAUCUAUAUGGUGAUGACGAUUAGUACACAUUACAAACAACUAUACUUCUGACAUGGACUUUAUAUUUCGUACUCCCUACGUUCCUAAAUAGUUGUCGUGGUUUUAUUGCAAAUUUACAGUAAAAGCAUGACAAGUAUUUAUGAACGGAGGGAGUACAUACUAUGCAUGUACGAAUUCUAGGAGUAACUUGUAGUUCGAUUCUAUAUUGGGUGCAUGCUAUGUAUGUAUGAAUUAUACUUGUUUAUCAUUUUGGUACAUAUUAUGAAUCCUUGAACGAUAAUGCUGUACUGACAAUUUAUACUUUUGAACCUCAUACCUUACGAGAAAGUUUGAAGCUGGACCAUCAGCACAUUCUGCGUUACCUGGUAGAGCUAGCCCUCUUGAGAACUCACUCAGGGGUUUCACGCACAGGACCACAUAUAAUAUUUUAUGCCCUGAAAUUGGGUUUGGCAUACGUUACAGAAGAAGCCACAACUACAAAUGUAAAUCUGGUCCAAAGAAUGAUGUUAUCUAUAGGAAAAUGUAGACAAUUGUUUGUGGUUGUGAGGUAAUAUUUAAUGUUUGUUCGUUAGGACUCCUUUUUACGGAUAAUGUAUAUCUAACGAGCACCAAAUGUAUUUCGGGGAAUGAAGUACCGGAAAGGAAAGGCAUGUGUCUUCUUGAUCUUUAUGAUGAAUUAAAUGUAGUACACGUUCAUGAUUGUGCGUCUGAUACUGUUAGGUUCGUUGCAUAGGAAACAAAAAAUUUCCUACGAGAAGUGCGGAAGAAAACCCAAGAAUAUAUAUACUAGAUGUAUGUAACGAGAGGGAUCAUGAACACCAUACCCUCGUAGACCGCUAAGCGUUACGAUCACGAGAUCGUUGUUGGUGUAGUGGAACUUUCAAUGAGAUCAAUCUCAGUGCCGAACGGACAGCACCUCCUUGGUAUCCACACGUUCAGCUUCACGUUGUCUCCUCCUUCCUCGAUCCAGCAAGCGAGAGGGAGAGGUAGACGAGAUCCCGGCAGCACAACGGCGUGGUGACUAUGGUGAAUAUUCUCACGGGCAGGGCUACGCCGUGCGCGUGAGAAGAGGAGGAGAGGAGGGCUCAAGGGAGAGAGAUCCAACUGAAAGCUUGGGGUGUCUCUCUCCCUUGUCCCCCCUUCUAUUUAUAUAGGGGUAGAGGAGGCGUGGCCGGCCAGGACUAUCCCGUGGCCAGGACUCUCAUGCGGCCAGGACUCUCCCGCGGCCAGGACUCUCCUCCUGGCCGCAUGGGCCCUGUGGGCUAGCCCCUCGGCCCAUUAAGGCCAGGGUGCUCCCUCACAGGCCCAUUUAGCCCAGGGAUAGGUGGGCCUCAAGGUGGAACCCUCCGGAUCCCUCCGGAACCUUCUAGAAGCUUCCCGGUCAAAACCGGGAAAUAUUCCAAACUUUCCAGAACCCUGAAAACAACUUUCCAUAUAUAAAUCUUUAUCUCCGGAACAUUCCGGAGCUCCUCGUUGCGUCUAGGAUCCCAUCCAAGACUCCGAAUCAUAAUUCGAUAUCAUCAUCAUUUAUCUCAUCUAACCCAAGCAACAUGAAACGUUAAGUGUGUGACCCUACGGGUUCGAGAACAUGUGGACAUGAUCAAAUAUCAAUAACCAAUAGCGGGACCUGGAUGUCCAUAAUAGUUCCCACAUAUUCCACGAAGAUCUCAUCGGUUGAACCACUAUGUCGAGGAUUCAAUUAAUCCAGUAUCCAAUUCUCUUUGUCUCGCGAUAUAUUACUUGCCCGAGAUUUGAUCGUCGGUAUCGCCAUACCUAGUUUAAUCUCGUUACCGGCAAGUUCUCUUUACUCGUUCCGUAAUAUAAUACCCCCGCAACUAAACACAUUAGUCGCAUGCUUGCAAGCUCAUUAGGAUGUUAUAUUACCGAGAGGGCCCAAAGAUAUCUCUCCGUCACAAGGAGUGACAAAUCCCAGUCUUGAUCCAUACAACCCAACAAGCACCUUCUGGGAUACCUGAAAAACACCUUUAUGAUCACCUAGUUACGAGAUGACGGUUGAUGCCCACAAAGUAUUCUUCCGGUACUAGGGAGUGGCAUGAUCUCAUGGUCUAAAGAAAUAAUACUUGACAUAAUAAAACAUAAGCAACUUAAACUUAAGUGACACGAUCAAAAGCUAUGUUUAGGUUUGGGUCUGUCCAUCACAUCAUUCUCCUAAUGAUAUGACCUCGUUAUUAAAUGACAACACAUGUCUAUGGUUAGGAAACCUUAACCAUCUUUAAUCAACGAGCUAAUCUAGUAGAGGCGUAUUAGGGACACGGUAUUUGUUUAUUUAUCCACACAUGUAUUUGAGUUUCCAAUCAAUACAAUUAUAGCAUGGGCAAUAAACAUUUAUCAAGAACAAUGAAAUAUGAUAAUAACAAAUUUAUUAUUGCCUCUAGGGCAUAUUUCCAACAGUCUCCCACUUGCACUAGAGUCAAUAAUCUAGUUUACAUUGUAAUAAAUCUAACACCCAUGGAGUCUUGGUUUUGAUCAUGUUUUGCUCGUGGAAGAGGUUUAGUCAACGGGUCUGCGACAUUCAGAUCCGUAUGUACUUUGCAAAUCUUUAUGUCACCAUCCUUGACAUAUUCACGAAUAGUGUGAAACCGGCGUUUAAUAUGCUUGGAAUUCUUGUGAGACCUCGGCUCCUUGGCGUUGGCUAUGGCACCAGUGUUGUCACAAUAGAUGUCCAUGGGAUCCAACACACUCGGAACCACACCAAGUUCAGAUAUGAACUCCUUCAUCCAAACUCCUUCCUGUGCCGCUUCUGAAGCAGCCACAUAUUCCGCUUCAGUUGUUGAUGCUGCCACAACGCUCUGCUUGGAACUCCUCCAGCUAACUGCACCACCAUUCAAAAUAAAUACGUAUCCGGAUUGAGACUUAGAGUCAUCCGGAUCAGUGUCAAAACUAGCAUCGACGUAACCCUUUACGACGAGCUGUUCGUCACCUCCAUAAACGAGAAACAUUUCUUUUGUCCUUUUUAGGUACUUAAGGAUAUUCUUAACUGCUGUCCAGUGUUCCACUCCUGGAUCACUUUGGUACCCGCUAGUCAAACUAACAGCAUGACACACGUCUGGUCUAGUACACAGCAUGGCAUACAUAAUAGAGCCUAUGGCUGAGGCAUAGGGGAUACUAUUCAUCUUUUCUCUAUCUUCUGCCGAAGCUGGACACUGAGUCUUACUCAAUAUCUUACCUUGCAACAUGGGCAAGAACCCUUUCUUUGCUUGAUCCAUUUUGAACCUUUUCAAAACUUUGUCAAGGUAUGUACUUUGUGUAAGUCCUAUCAGGCGUCUUGAUCUAUCUCUAUAAAUCUUGAUGCCUAAUAUGUAAGCUGCUUCACCAAGGUCUUUCAUUGAAAAACUUUUAUUCAAAUAGCCUUUAACACUUUUAAGAAGUUCUAUAUCAUUCCCAAUCAGCAAUAUGUCAUCCACAUACAGUAUUAGAAAUGCUACAGAGCUCCCACUCAAUUUCUUGUAAAUACAAGCUUCUCCGUGAGUUUGGACAAAUCCAAACCCUUUGAUCACCUUAUCAAAACGGAGAUUCCAACUCCGAGAUGCUUGCUUCAGCCCAUAAAUGGAACGCUGAAGUUUGCAUACCUUAUUAGCAUCCUUAGGAUUGACAAAACCUUUGGGCUGAACCAUGUAUAACUCUUCCUCAAUGUGACCAUUAAGGAACGCGGUUUUGACAUCCAUCUGCCAGAUUUCGUAAUCGAAAAAUGCAGCAAUUGCUAACAUAAUCCGAACAGACUUUAGCAUCGCUACGGGUGAGAAAGUCUCAUCGUAGUCAACUCCUUGAAUUUGUCGAAAACCUUUUGCGACAAGUCGAGCUUUAUAGACGGUAACAUUUCCAUCAGCAUCUGUUUUCUUCUUGAAAAUCCAUUUGUUCUCAACGGCCUUUCGGUCAUUCGGUAAGUCUACCAAAGUCCAUACUUGGUUUUCAUACAUGGAUCCCAUUUCGGAUUUCAUGCCUUCUAACCAUUUUUCGGAGUCUGGGCUCAUCAUCGCUUCCUCAUAAUUCGCAGGUUCAUCGUUGUCCAACAACAUGACAUUCAUGACACGAACAUUGUACCACUCAGGAGUAUUACGUGUUCUCGUCGACCUGCGAAGUUCAGUAGUUGUCUCAUUCAAAACUUCAUGAUCAUUAUCAUUAGCUUCCUCUCUAGCUGAUGCAGGAUGCACGGGAACAGUUUCUGGUGCUGCGCUACACUCAAAUUCGAGAGAAGGUUCAAUAACCUCAUCGAGCUCUACCUUCCUCCCACUCACUUCUUUCGAGAGAAACUCCUUCUCUAGAAAGGACCCGUUCUUAGCGACAAACACUUUUCCUUCGGAUCUGUGAUAGAAGGUGUACCCAAUUGUUUCUUUAGGGUAUCCUAUGAAGACGCAUUUUUCCGACUUGGGUUCGAGCUUAUCAGGUUGUAGCCUUUUUACAUAAGCUUCGCAUCCCAAACUUUAAGAAAGGACAGCUUAGGUUUCUUGCCAAACCAUAAUUCAUACGGUGUCGUUUCAACGGAUUUAGAUGGUGCCCUAUUUAAAGUGAAUGCGGCUGUCUCUAAUGCAUAACCCCAAAACGACAGUGGCAAAUCAGUAAGAGACAUCAUAGACCGUACCAUAUCCAAUAAAGUACGAUUACGACGUUCGGACACACCAUUGCGUUGUGGUGUUCCAGGCGGCGUAAGUUGUGAAACAAUUCCACAUUGUCUUAAAUGCGUGCCAAACUCGUAACUCAAAUAUUCACCUCCACGAUCCGAUCGUAGAAAUUUAAUUUUCUUGUUACGAUGAUUCUCCACUUCAUUCUGAAAUUCCUUGAAUUUUUCAAAUGUCUCAGACUUGUUUUUCAUUAAGUAAAUAUACCCAUAUCUACUCAAGUCAUCUGUGAAGGUUAGGAAGUAACGAUAUCCACCGCACGUUGUAACACUCAUUGGUCCGCACACAUCAGUAUGUAUGAUCUCCAACAAGUCACUGGCCCGUUCCAUUAUGCCUGAAAACGGGGUUCUAGUCAUCUUACCCAUGAGGCAUGGUUCACAUGUAUCAAAUGAUUCAAAAUCAAGUGAUUCAAGUAGUCCAUCAGAAUGGAGUUUCUUCAUGCGUUUUAUACCAAUAUGACCUAGACGGCAGUGCCACAAAUAUGUUGAACUAUCAUUAUCCACUUUGCACCUUUUGGCAUUAACAUUAUGAAUAUGUGUGUCACUACUAUCGAGACUUAAUAGAAAUAAACCAUUCACAAGUGGUGCAUGACCAUAAAAGAUAUUACUCAUAUAAAUCGAACAACCAUUAUUCUCUGAUUUAAAUGAAUAACCGUCUUGCAUUAAACAAGAUCCUGAUAUAAUGUUCAUGCUCAACGCAGGCACCAAAUAACAAUUACUAAGGUUUAAAACUAAUCCCGAAGAUAAAUGUAGAGGGAGUGUGCCGACGGCGAUCACAUCAACUUUUGAUCCAUUCCCGACGCGCAUAGUCACCUCAUCUCUUGCUAGUCUUCGUUUAUUCUGUAGCUCCUGUUUCGAGUUACAAAUGUGAGCAACUGAACCAGUAUCAAAUACCCAGGUGCUACUAUGAGUACUAGUAAGGUACACAUCAAUAACAUGUAUAUCAAAUAUACCUUUGACGUUGCCAGCCUUCUUAUCUGCCAAGUACUUGGGGCAGUUACGCUUCCAGUGGCCAGUCCCCUUGCAGUAGAAGCACUCAGUAUCCGGCUUAGGUCCAGAUUUGGGCUUCUUCGCGGGAGUGGCAACAGUUUUGCCACCCUUCUUGAAAUUUCCCUUCUUACCCUUUGCCUUCUUGAAACUGGUGGUCUUAUUGACCAUCAACACUUGAUGCUCCUUUUCGAUUUCCACCUCCGCGGUUUUUAACAUCGCGAGGAGCUGAGGAAGUGUCCUAUCCAUCCCUUGCAUAUUGUAGUUCACCACAAAACUUUUAUAGCUAGGUGGUAGUGACUGAAGAACCCGGUCAAUGCCUAAUUCAUUAGGAAUCUCAAUUCCCAGUUGUCUCAGGCGGUCGGCGUACCCAGACAUUCUGAGCACGUGCUCGCUAACGGAGCUGUUCUCCUCCAUCUUGCAGUUAAAGAACCUUUCGGAGGCAUCAUACCUCUCCGCACGGGCUUGGGUCUGAAAUAAAGUAUUCAGUUCCCCAAUCAUAGCAUAUGCCGAGUGGUGCUCAAAACGCUUUUGGAGCUCAGGUUCCAUACCAAGCAAGAGGCCGCACCUAACUACAUUGUGGUCCUCAGAUUGAGUCAGCCAAACGUUCCUAACGUCAGCAGACUCAGUUGCUGCGGGUUCUGCACCAAGUGCUGCAUCAAAAACGUAAGCCUUUUUGGCAGCUUCGAGGAUAAUCCUCACAUUCCGGAACCAGUCCGUAAAGUUGCUUCCAUUGAACUUCAGUUUAUCUUUCUCUAGGAGAGUAUUCAUAUUGAACGUAGUACGAGCCAUUGAUCUACAGCAUAUUUGCAAAGGCAAUUAGACUAAGUUCAUGAUAAUAAGUUCAAGCUAAUCAAAUUACUAAUGAACUCCCACUAAAAUCAACAUCCCUCAGGUUGUUUAGUGACACAUGAUCCAAAUCCACUACACCAAGUCCGAUCAUCACGUGAGAUGGAGUAGCUUCAAUGGUAAACAUCAGCAUGUUGAUCACAUCAUUCAUAUGACUCAUGUUUAACCUUUCGGUUCCUUGUGUUCCGAGGCCAUGUCUGUACAUGCUAGGCUCGUCAAGUUAACCAAAGUAUUCCUGCAUGUGUAAAACUGGCUUACACCCGUUGUAUGCGAACGUAGAGUUUAUAACACCCGAUCAUCACGUGGUGCUUCAAAACGACGAAGUUUUGCAACGGUGCAUACUAAGGGAGAACACAUUAUUAUCUUGAUAUUAACAAUGAGGGAUCAUCUUAUAAUGCUACCGUCAACUAAGCAAAAUAAGAUGCAUAAAAGGGAUAAACAUCACAUGCAUAAAUAAUGUGACAUGAUAUGGCCUUCUCUUCGUGUGCCUUUGAUCUCCAUCUCCAAAGCACGGGCAUGAUCUCCAUCAUCACCAGCAUGGCGCCUAGGUCCUCGGGCGUCAUGUAUAGUUGCCUCCACCAACUAUUGCUACUACGACUAUUGCUACUACUAGCGAUAAAGUAAAGCAAUUACAUGGCGAUUAAAUCAUUGACACGAAAGUCAUACAAUAAUUAAUGAGACAACCAUACGGCUCCUGCCAGUUGCCAAACUCAUCGACAUGCAAGUCGUGAAAUAUUACAAAACAUGAUCAUCUCAUACAUCAAAUAUAUUAUAUCAUAUCUUGGCCAUACCACAUCACAUGCCCCUGCAAAAACAAGUUAGACGCUUCUACUUUGUUGUUGCAUGUUUUACGUGGCUUUAGGGGCUGCACUAAAAGAACCGUUCUUACUUACGCAAAAGCCACAACGGUGAUAUACAAAUUGCUUAUUAACCAUAUAGGCCUCCCAUUGCAAAUCAGAUUUCAACUAUAGUGGGAGAGACAGACACCCGCCAGCCGCCUUAUGCAAUACAAGUUGCAUGUUAAUUGCGGAACCGGUCUCUUGUGCGAAGACAAGUAAGGUUGGUCCGAGCCGCUUCAUCCCACUAUCCCGCAAAAUCCGAUAGUGCACAAAGGAGGUAGCAAUAUGAACAUCAACGCCCACAACUAAAUUGUGUUCUACUCGUACAAAACAUCUACGCAUAGAUCUAGCUCUGAUACCACUGUUAGGUACGUUGCAUAGGAAACAAAAAAUUUCCUACGAGAAGUGGAGAAGAAAACCCAAGAAUAUAUAUACUAGAUGUAUGUAACGAGAGGGAUCAUGAACACCAUACCCUCGUAGACCGCUAAGCGUUACGAUCACGAGAUCGUUGUUGGUGUAGUGGAACUUUCAAUGAGAUCAAUCUCAGUGCCGAACGGACAGCACCUCCUUGGUAUCCACACGUUCAGCUUCACGUUGUCUCCUCCUUCCUCGAUCCAGCAAGCGAGAGGGAGAGGUAGACGAGAUCCCGGCAGCACGACGGCGUGGUGACUAUGGUGAAUAUUCUCACGGGCAGGGCUACGCCGUGCGCGUGAGAAGAGGAGGAGAGGAGGGCUCAAGGGAGAGAGAUCCAACUGAAAGCUUGGGGUGUCUCUCUCCCUUGCCCCCCCUUCUAUUUAUAUAGGGGUAGAGGAGGCGUGGCCGGCCAGGACUAUCCCGUGGCCAGGACUCUCCGGCGGCCAGGACUCUCAUGCGGCCAGGACUCUCCCGCGGCCAGGACUCUCCUCCUGGGCGCAUGGGCCCUGUGGGCUAGCCCCUCGGCCCAUUAAGGCCAGGGUGCUCCCUCACAGGCCCAUUUAGCCCAGGGAUAGGUGGGCCUCAAGGUGGAACCCUCCGGAUCCCUCCGGAACCUUCUAGAAGUUUCCCGGUCAAAACCGGGAAAUAUUCCAAACUUUCCAGAACCCUGAAAACAACUUUCCAUAUAUAAAUCUUUAUCUGCGGAACAUUCCGGAGCUCCUCGUUGCGUCUAGGAUCCCAUCCAAGACUCCGAAUCAUAAUUCGAUAUCAUCAUCAUUUAUCUCAUCUAACCCAAGCAACAUGAAACGUUAAGUGUGUGACCCUACGGGUUCGAGAACAUGUGGACAUGAUCAAAUAUCAAUAACCAAUAGCGGGACCUGGAUGUCCAUAAUAGUUCCCACAUAUUCCACGAAGAUCUCAUCGGUUGAACCACUAUGUCGAGGAUUCAAUUACUCCAGUAUCCAAUUCUCUUUGUCUCGCGAUAUAUUACUUGCCCGAGAUUUGAUCGUCGGUAUCGCCAUACCUAGUUUAAUCUCGUUACCGGCAAGUUCUCUUUACUCGUUCCGUAAUAUAAUACCCCCGCAACUAAACACAUUAGUCACAUGCUUGCAAGCUCAUUAGGAUGUUAUAUUACCGAGAGGGCCCAGAGAUAUCUCUCCGUCACAAGGAGUGACAAAUCCCAGUCUUGAUCCAUACAACCCAACAAGCACCUUCUGGGAUACCUGAAAAACACCUUUAUGAUCAUCCAGUUACGAGAUGACGGUUGAUGCCCACAAAGUAUUCUUCCGGUACUAGGGAGUGGCAUGAUCUCAUGGUCUAAAGAAAUAAUACUUGACAUAAUAAAACAUAAGCAACUUAAACUUAAGUGACACGAUCAAAAGCUAUGUUUAGGUUUGGGUCUGUCCAUCACAUCAUUCUCCUAAUGAUAUUACCUCGUUAUUAAAUGACAACACAUGUCUAUGGUUAGGAAACCUUAACCAUCUUUAAUCAACGAGCUAAUCUAGUAGAGGCGUAUUAGGGACACGGUAUUUGUUUAUUUAUCCACACAUGUAUUUGAGUUUCCAAUCAAUACAAUUAUAGCAUGAGCAAUAAACAUUUAUCAAGAACAAUGAAAUAUGAUAAUAACAAAUUUAUUAUUGCCUCUAGGGCAUAUUUCCAACAGAUACGGCACCGCAGAGGUUAUGGAUGAGAAGUUACCUGGUGGGGCACCAAGUGUGGACGCAGGUUCUGGAAGUGCUAAUUCUGCAGAUGUCAAUGAUUUAAUCAAUACCUUCUUCAGCACACCUCCUGGAGUUGAGACACUUUCAGGUAAAUUCACAAAUAUUGGUUCGAACAGUACUGGUACACAGAAUUUAAGUUCAGAAAUGUUGGUACCCACCAUUUUACAUCGUAUUUGAACGUAACCCAGGUGAACUAGGGGGCAUGGAUAACCAAGGUGAAGCUGAAGCACCUAUAUUUGACAACACCCCACACUGUAAGUUUUUUUUAUGGCGGUAGUUAGAAUUUAUUGAACACUGUAAACACAUGAAAAGUCGUGAACGUAAGAUUGGAACGAUGCAGGCGCCAGGAAAGAUAACAUGAAUGCUGCGGAGAACAACAAAGGCAAAAAUAACACUGAGGCGGCAGGAAACAUAGAAUUAUCAGGUUUAGAAAUUGACAUACUGAAGGACUAUUGUGCUAUUAUAUCUUCAGAAAUAUAAUUCUGCAUGUACCUGUAGAUUCUUCUGUUGAAAUUCUGGGUGUGAGGGUGUGCCAGAGACAGAAGUACUCCAAGAAAAUGUACAUGAGCAAGGCAUUGAAGAAACGAGCAGAAAUGGAAGAACCGGCGAGGAGUGAAGGAGCUAGUACCAUCUGAAGCCUUGAAUUCUGUAUGGUACUGAUGGUUCAUGAGUGGCAACUUAUUUUGUAGCCUAUGCAUAAUGGUAGUCUGUAUGGUACUGUUGGUAUGGAUGAUGGCAAUCUGCCAGGUACUCUAUGUAUGCACUAAAUGUUUUACGGUACUGUAAACAUGGGCCACUUCAUAAUGUCUUAAGGCGAGUAGAAUUAAGUGGGCUAGAUUAUGAUGUACUUAUUAACCAGAUGACAUGAUAUCAUUUCGAAAGUAAUGCCGAUUUAGGUACAUGGAAGACGCGAGAGAAGUCUAUCCAUGUGUAAGUUCUUGGAAGGUACAUAGUACCACCAUAUGAACGUUGUGCUAAAUCAGUCAGACUUUUAUGAAACAAAACAUAAACAGAUCAGUGCCAUGCAGCCCUGUAUGGAGAAAACGAAAUAACCAGUUCGUUUGCAUUAAGUAAGAGGUACCUUCAUCUUACAAACCCCUGGGUCUUGUAUGGUACAACUGAACUAGACCAAAUCUAUGCACAUCAGGAACGGAAGCUGUAGAUUUAGUAGUACAGGUAGAGAGUGGCGAAGUACCAAGUGAUGGUAGGUUCUAGUUCUACUACAUCCAUCAACCAUAGUGAUACGAAGUAUCGAACUGCCAAUCGUGUACAAAACAUGUUAAAAAGUGCUGACUGCCAUGACAUAUAUGACACUAAUAUGAGAGAACAUAACGCACCGCUGGCUUUGAUAGUGACAUUAGAACUCUUUUGGUUCAAAGAUGAUCUUCAACACAAGUACUGGAAGUCGUGUCUUGUUCUUCUCCAUAUUUAGGAGUUCAAAAAGGAAGGAGUGCUUCAUCCUCGCGUACCCUUUUUACAUUAGCACAAGCCAUAGUUAAUAGUGAAGUACUUCAGUAUAGAGAUAAGUACGGUUGGUUGCUCCAGGUUUUCUUACCAACGUGAGUGCCUGUUCUAGCUCAUCACCGUUGUAAUUCCUAACACAGUGCAGCAUACAAAGCCCACUCUGAUUCCUGCAGGAAUCAUAUAUCAUGCAGUUAGUGCAUAUAAAAUCCUUGUUGGUACAUCAUAUGGAAGUAGGUGUAUAAGGUUGACCAUACUUGUCGAAUUUGUCGUUUGUCAAGAUAGGGAAAACAAGAGGCCAGUCUGUCUUCCUAGGAUUCCAAUUCUCGAAGAAGCUGUUGAAACAGUCAAACAACUUGUACGAAGGAGACUUGAUGUAUGUACAUGCAGAUCUUUCAUUUUUCCAGUAAAAUCCUAUUGCAAGAAUGGGUCGAGCACAUGGAUAAUUUCCUCCUUCAUGUCGAACAUAUAGGCUGAUCAAUAUUCGUUAACAAAUGAAGGAACUGCGAACUGGAAAUUAUUUGAAAAGAAAAAGGAGUAUCAGUAAUUGGUCCCAUGUGUUUGGUCAGCAUUUGAGUUGAUAGAAUCUGUACCAUUCGAGUGGAUGACAUGUUGUACUGAAUACUCUGACCAAUGAAUUGUUCUCGGAUAGACAACGCAGACGUGACAUCAGCUGCUGCAAGAACAGAGACCUGAUAUGUAGAAGGACGUAUCGUACUGUUACGGCAUGUUCGAAUUUUUAUUUGGGAAGGGAAUAGAAAUGGGAACAGAACUGAACGUACCGAGAAAUCACUUUCCAGCAUAUGACGCCAAUGCAUUUUGCAGCUGUACAUCAUGUUUGUCUAGCUGAGUUAACCGUCUGACAAGUAGAUCACACAUCUCAAAGUCUAACAUGUGGGAAUGGACAAGCUGAUCCCUCACAUGACUACCCGUGAGAGUAAUGAAUCGAGGUAAUUCAACUGUCAACCAUUUGCUGAAAGAAACAUGUACGUAUUAUAGGUUAGAUAAUGUCAGGAGAACAGGUGUGAGAAAAGUAAUGUAGGUAGUCCUUACAUGUUCAUGUACUGUGGACCUGCGUCUGUACACCAGUCCAUGAGAGCAACCAUUAAAUCAUUGUCUGGUUUCGGAUGUAUGUACCCAUCUGACCAAGGAGAUUGGGCAAAUUGUCCAACUUUAGUUCGGCGUCUGUCUGGUGGAGAAAUAGAGCACUGGCCAAACAAGACUCUGCUCUCGGGGCAGUCUAAGUAGUCUGUCCUAAAUAUCAAAUCUGCCAUGACAGUUUCAUUGACCAUUUUUGUAGCAGCGGGUGAACAUGGGGUCAGAGUGGUCGGUGCUGGAGUUCGGAGACCUGCAUCAUUUGAAGCUGCAAGUGAUGUCACAUUUCGUUCAGCCAGAGUUUGCUUUGUGUCGAUCCCAAGAUCAAAUGUAGGCGGAUCAAAAUCCAUGUGCUCGAAGGAGGAUCUUGUAGUAUCUAACGUCGAAGCUAUUGUCGUUAAAUACUAAAUUGCGAGCACAAAGUACAUGAAUGCAGUUCUUCAUGUACCUGACGCGUUCGAUUUAGCUUUCUUCAUGGUUGGAUCAUUUAUUUCAGUGGGGCACCUCUUGGUUGAUUCAGCUCCACAAUCCUUGCUGUCACCUAAUUGAGAACGCGGGUACGUUAGGCCGUACGUAACGAACAGAUAGAUAUUGAGAGAGAGAUGUGUUGUACCUUCACUUUGAGAGGGUACAUGUUGUUCAUUCUUCGGGCUCUUGAUGGAACUAUGCACAGAAGCUACGAGAAGGUGCCUGCGGUCAGGGUUAACCAGAAGUAUGUACAUUGCAGUACAAGACACGUACCUUCACUACGAGCACCGGACAGAGACGAUUGAGGUACCGGCUGGGAAGAAGUAAUGAAUCCAAAGACUUGAUCAGCAAGCUACAAAUUCUGCUCUAGUGUACUGUUUUUCUCAGCUGCAUGCCUCUCAUGCAUUGAUCUGGUCAUGUUUGCAUUGUAUUUCUUGAAACAAGUUGCAAGUGCUGAAUUGCUCUACAGUGGUAUAGAAAUAAUAGAUUUCAGGAUGUAUGCAUUAGUGAGAUCAUAUUUUGUAUAUAUACUGUAAUGCAUUUUUAAAUGAGUGUUACCAGAGCUGGGUACUUUUCUCGAAGAAAUCGUGGCAAUGUUGCUGCACUCAUUGGAACACUGGUGGAAGAAUUUGCUGGUGCAUGAGGCAUUGCAAGAGGUGUCGUUGCACUUGUUGUGAUACCCGGAGUCUUUCCCGGCACAGGAGUUGGUGCAUAUGGUUGACGGAAUGUACCUCGUGCAUUGAACUGUGGAAGAAAAGUGGUAUGUGAGCACAUAUAUAUUUAUGUUUGUUGAACAUGAGAUGUAUAGAUUAGACCAUGGUACCUGCUUCAAACCGAAUCCGCCUUCGGGUUUAGUAUCAGCCAUUAUAAGUUUAUUCACUACAUCAGUUGGAAAUGCCUUGCAACGAGGGAAAAUAUUCUUCGUUGGUUGAAGUGCCCCAAGCAACAGAUUGUCAAGAUAGUGUACCUUCGUUAUAUUAGCUUUCAUGUCAGAAUGUGAGCAAGAAUUAUUGACGGCAUGACAUAACAAUACCAACAUGAUCAUACCUGGAGAAAAAUGUGGCAACCAGCUAUGUUGGACACAACUUUUUUCAUGGCAAUGUCAUCCUGCACUCUCCUAGCCGCAUCAAUUACACCUUUGAUGACAUAUGCACACCAGUUAUACUCUCCGAUCUCAUCAGUACAACGCAAUGCACCAAGGAAAUCAAUGUUAACGUGGUCAUACUUAGUAGACGGUGACAGCAUGUGAACCAUGAGAAUUAUGACAUAAGCCAUUUUGAAAGCAUCCUUUUGCAAUCUGGUACUCUCGGGCGUAAGCUCCAUGAGUAUGAUUUUUUCAGCUUCCUUGAGGCUGAUCUUGUUUCCUGGCAUGCCAGCUUGCUCACGGAUGUAUGCCAAAGCGGUUUCAGAUAUCUUGGUCUCUGGCCCUAGGACAUCACGUGUUCCGCAUGGUAUACCAAAUGCCCUGUUCACAUCCAUGGGUCCAAAUGGAAGUGCACGUAUGGCAUCGACAACUAUUGCACAGUUUGUGCAAUCAACAUUCUUAAGUAACCAAGUGCUGAAGAUUCUGCUAAUAGAGUUCCACGGCGGCACAUUGAGUGUGCCACCAAAUCUAUCUCCCGUACACUCUCUCUCUUUACGUCAUUAAAUUUCUUGAUAAUCCAAUACAAAGUCUUGGCUGAUGUCCUAGAGGUAGCUGACUUGGAGCUCAAAGAGAUUUGAGUUUCUUCGUUGCUAUCAUACUCGGUGGCAUCAUCGCUCGCCUGCGAGGCAGAGGAAGAUUGUUACAUAAUUCAUCGUGAAAGAGCAUUAUUUGGUACAUAUCCGAGAGUUCAGUUUCCUGUGAAAUAGUUGUGGAACAUUAUUUCAUAAGAUUACUACUAAUGGCAGUGAGCUGUGAAGCUUGUAGAGGAUGAAGAACAUGAGUUAGAACAAUCAUACUAAAGCACAGGGAAAUUGAAUGUACAUGAACGUACAUGAACAGUUGCAGAAAAUACAUGGUGUAACCAAAGUGACGGCAUAUGUGAAUGUCCGUUGAGCAAGGUACUUGAUGUACAGUAUGUACCAAAUACGGUGGGAAUGUACAGCAAGAAAAAUAACAAAAAUGAAGAAGGGAAAGGAACAAAUUUAUGAAUCAGACCAUGUAGGUACUGAAGUACAUACCGUAAAGGGAAACGGAGCGGAGGUACAUAAGUACCAUAUACAAGGGGAAUGUACAGUACGAGGAAGAACAAAAUUGAACAAGAAGCACAAAACAUAAAGGGAAACGGAGGGGAGGUACGUUAAGUUCAUCCGAAAUGAACUUGCAGUUGAGCAGAACGAAGAAGCAAUAACACAUGUGAAAGACAUUUGUUUUCUUGAAAUUGUUGGUACAUUUUGAUUUUCGCAAGAACGCACUUGACGUACCUUGGAUUCACUCAUCUUCUCGAACGCUAGCUGAUUUGCAGCUGAACCCUCACCGAACCCAGGAACCGCAGGAAGCAAAAAGGUGGAGCAUUGGGACUAGCAGCCGACGAUCAGAACGAGGAUGGAGCAGAUCAAUGAGCAGAACGACCGCCGGCGACCAGAACAAGGAGAAGCCGGGUGCACGAACACAAUGGCUCCGAUAAAGAGCUAAAGUGGAGACGAGCGAGCGAGAGAGGAGAGAGAAAAAAAUAUCCUGCUCCACUAACCACUCAAAACCGUACAGGCUAGAUAAAUUGUCACAUCAACGGCACCGCCUUCUCCCAGCUCUGUAUUUUCCUGGCCGCUCGCCCGAAGCACCAUGACGGACGGCUAGCACGGUGGGGCGAGUUCGCGGCACCGGAGGUUUGGCCUCACGCAGGCCAUAGAAGCGAUGGAUGGAACAGACGUUCCGUGCGCCUUUGGGCAAAGUGCGCCGGCCCGAGCGACCCGGGUUGCAUUUUGAUGUGAUCGAUCGCUUGGCUACAAGCCAGUCCUGAGAUGAGUUUCCGGUGGCCCAAUCGGAGCCGUGCAGCGUGCAGGCAGGCACGGAUCCAAGGAACGGGGCCAAGGGUAAGGUCAAUCAUCAAUGGGUCAGCAUGGGCACCGGCGUAAAAUCAUUUCUCUCCUCUGGCUACCGCCGUUGGUUCUCUUGCUGCUACUCACUUUUCACUUCACACUGCCGCAAUAAACAACGUUUUUUCCCCCUCUCCUCUCUCUACUGGAUACUCCUGCAAGGACUGUACAUUGGGAGACAGCACGAAGAAAAAAGGAAGCUGAGGAUGCAGCAGAGCACGAGGCCGCCAUCCAGAGUCAGAGGGUCCUAGGAAGAACGAGGAAAAAGCAGGGGAAGGAAGGGGGCAGCGCACAGGAAGAUUACAACUUCGCAGCCAUGGAAGUGGAGCCACCGGCGUCAGCAGCGGCAGGGCUGCUACUAAAAUGCGGCAUGAAGAGUGGCGGCGGUGGGGAGCUACUACCACCGAAAGCCGCGGCUGACGCUGCGGAGAUUCCGCAUCCGCCGCGAGAACCGGACGCCGCGGGCUCCGCCGCCACCACCACCACCACCACCCCGGCUUCGCUGCGGCGGGGGCUGGCCGCUGCGCGGGCGCGGCGGAGGGCGGGCCUCGCCACGCCGUCGCCGUCGUGGAAACUGGAGCCGUCGCCGCGGCGGCCGGAAGAGUCGCCGGCGGUCGGCGUGGAUGCGGCGGCGGGGAGGAGGAGCUCGUCGGCAGCGUCGGCGCGCCAGCUCGGCGCCACUCUCUGGGAGAUCCAGGACGUCAUCAGGGUCGCCGGCGCCGGGCGCCGGAUCCGCCGGCGCGCGCCGAGGGGGGCCGCCGCCUCGCCCCGCCACGACGAUGACGCGGAUCGGGUGAGUGCUCGACGCUCUCUGCUUUUCCGGGUCAACAUGCUAGCCUGUCGUGCUUUGUUCUUUUCCUUUCCUUUCCAUCCUUUUCUGCUAACUUCAUACAUUGGUUGCAUAAUGUAAGCUUGGAUAAUUUAUGCGACCAACGUCAUUACCAUUGAAUUUCUUAGUGGAUCACUGUUCUGAGAUGUUGAAAUUACUCUUUUAUACACUUGUCAGUGCUGCAGAUAGAAAUUAAAAUGGUAGGAGUACCUUUUAUGUGACAGCAACAUGAAGAACAAUAAUCUCUUUGUUUAGCUCUUCGCGAGGCAGAGAUCAAAUUAGCACCGAAGCACAACGUAGUUUGAUUAGCACCACUGUAGGAUUUCUAUUCGUUUAACCUGUCUACAUGCUAUGGACUUGCUUUUCACUUUUGUUUCGUGGAAUCAUAUCAAAGUCAAGAAGACUGAAAGCAGUGUGCAAUUAAAAGGCUCGUCCUAAUGCUGUGACAGUAAUGCUUGGACCCUCCUUUAAACUGAUGGUUAGCUUGUACAUCUUUUGACAUGAAUUGGGCAUGUGGUAGAUGGUGAAGUACACGGCCUUUGCAUGUUUAGUGUCAUGUGGUUCCUUGGCUCUACACAUUGGCUAUUUUGCGACUAACUGCCCUGAAGUUUUCUUCUGAGCAAUUGCAGCAGCGAUAGAAUUGUCCGUGUCACAUGACAAUUUCUCCAAAGCUAUGCAUUUUGAACUUUGUUAAUGAAACUUUGAUGGAGAGUCAUGCUUUCCACUGGAACUGUCACAUCUUGAUGCUUUAUUAUUUUACGAAGCCAUGCGUUCUGAAAUCUGUAGCUUACGUCUUUGUCUCACAUUUCAGCCACAGAAUUCAGGUGGUUGUGUUGGGAAUCUUUCAACACCGUUGAUGGAACAUGACAAGUUACAUGAAGAUAGAUGUCAUUCAAGGCAGACUCUUUCUCCCGCAAGUUACACUAGCUCAAUUGGGGUAUGCACAUACAUUUCCUCCCUUUAGUCACAUCUCGGUAAUUUUGGCCUGUUUGGUUUGAGCUUUCCCUACCAAAAAUUUGGCCUGCCAAAAUAUUGGUCAAGGUUUUGCUUGCCCAUGAGUUGGCUUUUUGUCCAAAGUUGUAGAGUUGGCAAAGUAGCAUCGGCAUGCCAAAAAAUAUGCAACAACCCAAACAAAGAUCAAACUUUCUGCUAUGGCCAAAAAAUUGGUUUGGUGCACUUUGGCAACAAACCUUUUGUUUGCCCUGGCCUUAUCUUUGUAAGCUUGCAUGCUGCUGAUUACGCAUGUUUUUUUCUGUCGCUAAUGUCCCAAUGGCAUGUUAUUGGUUAACUAUGUCGUGGUGAUAAACAUUACUUGGAGAAAUCAUAUUUUUCGUAACUGUAUUUUUUUGUCCAUUCAUUGAACAGGCUGCUACCAUAAACCUCGUCAGUCCAACUCGCUCAUUGAAUUUCAGAGAUAGGUCUAGGGAGACAGGUUGCAAUCUUAAAACGUCAACAGAGCUAUUGAAAGUUCUAAAUCGCAUUUGGAGCUUGGAAGAACAACACGCGGUUGAUGUGUCAGCAGUUAAAGGAUUGAAAUUGGAAUUGCAGAACACGCAGGCACAUGUUCAAGAGCUUAUGCAAGAGAGGCAGCAAUAUCACUACGAAACGAAUUCUUUGGUCAAACAAGUCACCGAAGACAAAAUGGCUCGGAAAAAUAAGGAGCAAGAAAAGCUUAGAGCAUCCCUGUAUUCACUGCAAGGCGAACUUGAAGCUGAGAGACAUCUGAGGAAACAUUCCGAGAGUAUCCACAGGAAGCUAGGCAAAGAGCUAUCUGCGAUGAAGACAGCAUUUCUCAAGGCUGUAAAGGACCUGGAGAAACAGCAGAAAGCAACUCGACUGUUGGAAGAUCUUUGUGACGAGUUUGCAUUAGGAAUCAGAAACUAUGAAGAAGAAGUCAGGGUGUUAAAGCAAAGGCAUGCAAAGCAAUAUGAACAGAAGUUUGAUAAAUUGGUCGUUCAUAUUUCGGAAGCAUGGCUCGAUGAACGAAUGCAGAUGCAAAAUGCUGAAGCCAGGGGAGAUUCAGAAGGGAAAACCUCAAUCACGGAGAGGUUGAGCAGUGAAAUACAGAGUUUUCUGCAUGGUAGAAGAUCAAGUAACUCCUAUGGGGUUAACAUACAUAUUGCUAAUGAGAAGGGAAAUGCAAGCUUGUGUCGACAGUCCCUUGAAUCUGUUCAUUUAAAUGGAGCCACUAGUGCUCCUCGGUUACCCGAAGAUGAUGAUGGCAAUUCUGUUUCUAGCGACUUGCAUUGCUUUGAAUUGAACAUGCAUGGAGGUGCUGUGAGGAAUCAUGACCUUGCAGGAACUCAGAGAACGGUCACAAGCUCCAUGUAUUCACCAAUGCGAAGAUUGGACUUCUCCAAUGGUGUAUCUGUAGAGGGCUCAAGCAUCUCAAGCGCAAGACCUUGUUCAAAAAAAGACAAGGUAAAGUCAAGCAGUAGUAGAACACAGCGGAAUGCUUCAACACCAGAAAUCAGCUCCCGAAAUGGUGACAAAAUUUAUCCCAUAGAUGAACAGAAUGAAACAGUUAUGACCCAAGUUUCUCGAAGAUUGCAUGAUGACUUGUUGAAGAUCAAAAUAGAGGCUCCUCAACAUGCAUUUCUAGACCGAAAAUCCCAUGACCAUCAUCAUCGAACAAGUCAAUUUCUUGAAGGCGCUACUUCAGGGGAUCUACACAAUCUGCACAGUCCAGCACGGCAGCUGAAGAAUCAACGUGCAUGUUUAAAUUAUCAAAUAUCUGAAUGUGCUACUACAGGUGAUCUGUUCAAUCUGCGAAGUCCAGCCCAUCAGCUGAAGAACCAACACACAUUGCUAGAUUAUCAAUUAUCUGAAUGUGCUAAUUCAGGUGGUCUACACAAUCUGCACAGUCCAUCUCAAGAACUGAAGAGUCAACACGCAUCAUUAGAUCAUGAAAUAUCUGAAUCCUCGCCAACGCAGUCCCUAGGAACAAAGGACAACACCCUCAAGGCAAAAUUACUGCAAGCAAGGUUAGAGGGGCAGCAUGCCCGAAUUAGGGCUUCAGGUUAUCCCUUAAUCAGCACAAGAAGGAAAUGAGACACUGACUGGCACACUGAGAUUGUUUCCAUGAUAUUGUUUCCCGCAACAUGGAGUUGCAUUGUAAGAUAUCGGACUCGAUACAUAUGGUGCUUCACUCGAUGCAAUAUGGUUAGGCUUUCAUGCACAUCUCAGGUCACAGGAUAUGCGAACUCAAGCUGCAUGGGAAAUAGUUCUUUUAAGUAGAUUUCAUAUGUUAGCUAUCCAGCACUCUAGCUAGAAUUGAACUAUUGAAUGUGGAGAUGGCGUUUUGGUAAUCACAUGUUGUAAUUUUGUAUAGUGCUAAGCUCUAAUUAAUUAUAAAUUUAUUUUGCAUGCUCAAUCGAGAAGGCUUCUUUGAUUCACAGCCUUUCACGGUAAACAGUUUAAGUGCUGCGAGAAGUAGGAAAUAAUUUCUUCUGAAUCAAGGAAGUCCUUCGUAAAUUACUGAUGCUGUUGUCAGUUCUUAACUUGCUCUAUGCAUGCACAAGAGUUUUUGAGCCGACACUCCCUCCUAUACAAGAUAAAACCAGCUUCAAAGAAACUUGAAUUUAGUAUGUACCAAGGGGAAAUGUUGUACUUCCUCCGUCUAACAAAGGAUGUCUCAAUUUUGACUAAAUUUGAAUGCAUCUAUACACAAAGUCAUGUCUAGAUACAUCAAAAUUGACAAACUUGAGACAUCUUUUGUUGGACGGAGGGAAUACGGUAUAUUUUCCAUCUUCUUUGCAGAUGAUAAAGCUUCAGUUCAAUAGAAAUGCUCUCCUUCCUACGCAUUAAUUUUUUUCAGCUUCAAUGGAGUUGGUAUAAUAUAAGGCGUUCCUACUAACAUAUGGCCGGCAGGAACAAAUAAAUCUGAACUGUGCCGACCAUAGAAAAGUGUGGUGUCAUAACUUUGAUAAAAUUUAGCGAGAACAUGAAUCUGUAAUAAGAUACACAAGCUAAGAAAAUGUGACGUGCACGUGUUAAAGCUUCUGUUGUAUGGUAGUGAAACAAAUGUGGAAAAGUUUAACGAUAGAUACCUAUGAAGCAGACAGUGGCGAAGCUGGAUUACCAAGUCAUUAGGUUCAUUGCCUUUAUUUAUAGUGUAAAUUUUUACUAACGAGGAAGACAAAGACUAAGUUAAUGAAGGAUUUGCUUAAUUCAUUGGGUUCAUUUGAACCCUAGGGUUAUGCAGCAGCUCCGCCACUGAAAGCAGACAUGCCUUGUUAGGACAAAAACAUUACGCACUUCGAAUCUCUCAAAAUUGUCGAUAUUAGCAUGAUUGCAUCAGGUUUAUAACGUUCAAGAAACGCUGAUUGCGUUAUGUUUUCUAGUGUUGAUUAUCAAUAGCUUUCUUGUUUUUGCAGUACACAACUAUAGUUCCUUUUUCCUAUGGUUGGGAGAGUGGUGUGUCAGUUAUCAACGACUUUCUUGUUUUUGCAGUACACCAGUAGUUCAUUUUUCUUAGAGUCUUUAUGGUUAGGACUUAAGAGUGGCUCUGGUACAGGUUUUUUUUUAGGCCUCUGGUGGUACAGUUGGAGCCAUGCAAGGGGUAAAGCUAAAUUUUCACGGUUCGAUACAUGGCAAGAAGAAAAUGACACCUUCUGGUGUCGGUGGACUAGGUGAGUUUCAUGGAUGUGUGACUCCACUUUUCAUAUUUCAGUCUUUUAUGGAUAUAUGAAUGCACUUUAGCAGAUAUUUUCUGUGAGUAUUGCUUUCGUGGGUGUGUCCCCUUCUUUUUUUGAAGAGCUUGAAUUAUUUAGUCCCUCGGAUUCUAAACUCUUGUCACUUAGCAGCAGAAUACCGGGUUAGCGACUUAGCGUGAAAGAAAACAUGCCACGGUAUUUUGUAUGACGGUGCAUCGGACACCCUGAUGACACGUGAUCCGAGUUUAUAAGACCGGAGAAGUUGUGACUAUUAUCAGAUCGCCUAGCUCUUGAGCUAGUUCAUGUGCAGCAGAAUUUUAUUUUUUUUGAAAAGGUCCCUGCAUUAAGUAUUAAAGAAAUUCAGUACAGAUUCCCACAUGGGACAAAAUACAAGCUCGUCCCAGAAGACACGUACUCGCCAACCACGCAGGGAGGGAGCGCGUGUGAGGGCACGUGUCCGAGAACUGACUACACCUUUGACUACGCAUCCUCGACCGCUGAGCAUGCUCACCAGCUUGCAUCGUCUUUCCGAACACGCCGGCCGUUGCCGGUGAUGAAGAAAAAGGCCGACGCCGACCAAUGCUGCUGCCUCCAACAACAUCCACCUAGGAUCUGGAGGAAGAACACAUCCGACACCAUUGCUUAUGAAGAUCCACUUGCAUCGGAUGAAUACAUGCCCCUGGUCUGGGCAGUGGCCACCGCAGGAGGGCCGGGGCGUCGCCGAAGAACUCACCGGUAAGUUGCCAGGUCCAAGAACCACAACGUGGGCCUCCAAAGUGGAAGGUUAAGAUGGAUCUAGACAGCCUAGCGACAAGGAUUUCAGCCAAGACCGCUCUCACAGACACAGUAGAUGGAGAGAAGAAACAUUGCCUGCACAAUGAAGAAAACCAAUGCCAGAAGAAAGAGAUGAGCGUAUGCAUCGACCUCGAAACGGCCUGCUCGAGUCUCCAAGCGACCAAGAAAGGAGCACACAGUUGCCAGCCAUGAAUAUGACGAAGCUUUGCCGGUAACUUGAAAGGGGAAAACUUGCAGGGAAGAUUAUUGCAAAAGGAAAAAGAGGGAAAAGCAGAUCUGAAAACACCAAAACCCAUCUCUCCUUCCCCUGGAUCAAUCCCACCACCAUGGUGACAUUCCAAAGAAGAACAGAAGAAAUGAGCAGUAGCCAGAUCUGAACGGAGCUUAUUUGGUUGGCCAUCUUCCUGGAAGAGGCUAGGGGACCAGCCGUCCCCGGCAACUUUGCUCCUCCAGGAGAUGUUUCCGCCGGAGCUCCAAUCCGCCUGUCGCCGGUCCGCUAACGGCAUAGCGCCACCACACACCUACCACUACCUGGAUUUACAGAGGGAAAAGCGAGCCGGAGCUCCUCUCCCCUCCCCUCCGGCCGGCGUCGCCGGUGGAGAAGAAGGGGGGAGGAGGCGGCAGGAGGGGUUGGAUGGGCAGAGGCAACGAGAGCAGAGGAGAGAGCAGGGGAAAGGGAAAAUGAGAGCUCUACCGCUCCACUUCGGAGGAACAGCUCUCUGGAGUCUGGACCGAGCCGCCUUUCUCCGUCCUUAUGUGCAGCAGAAUUGCAAUGCCUAUACUUGCGAGUAAUCCACAGUAGACACAUGAUGUGGAUGAGAAUUGGAUGAGAUUUUAAAUGUAAUAAUUACUUUUGCUAUGUUUGAAGGUCACUAGUCUAAACAUUGUUUUUAGUGGAUUGCUGAUACCUCUUUGCUAUACUUACUGCUUGUUAUUAGGUCCAAGAAAUAUGAUUUGAGAUCUGAACUUUAUGUGAUUUUGCAUUAUGUUUUGUUUGGAUCACAUCAGCUUGUUGCAUUACAUGUCGCAGUUCCAAACCAGUGACCUUAUGGGGAUAGAACGGGAUAUCCGUGGAUUCUUAUAUGUUCAUCGUUCUUAAUGUGUUGCUGCGAUUUGUUUUGUGAUUAUCUUCGAUCCACUUUUGAGUGUAGUAUAAUCUUUUUUCCCUAGAGACCUAGGUUUAUCGAAUUAGGAGUGCUUAAUUAGUGAGGUGACGUCUUGGAAUACUUGUUGUCACGUAAAGUAUCUAUUUUCCGAACCAACACAAAAUAUUGCAAGGCUUUCACCUACAACAUAGCACACAUGUAAUGGAUUUUAGGAUAAUCAACAGAUAUUGGUAGAUACUAAAUAUAGUUGACAAAAGCAUAACUGGAAAAUGCGUCCUUGUAACACGACAACCAGGGACGGAGCCAGCAAUUCAACAUGAGGGGGGCGAUUUGGGCUUAGGGGGGCGAAAUUAGAGAGCUAACCUAACCUAUUUUUAAGGGAUUCCUAAUGAGCUAAUUAGUGCAUACUAUUAAACAAAAAAAAAUUAUAGGGGGGGCCAAAACUCCCCGGCGCCCCCGUUGUCUCUAUCACUGACGAUAACCGAAUUGUCGCAGAAUCGUGGAUCGUGGUGUCCAACCUUGGUUCCGUAGCGGAUGCAGACGUGCGCGGCGGGAGGAGAGAGAGAGAGAGAGGGGGGGUUGUAGGCGACCUGCCAGACU